rnacentral:lncRNA from 1 species
AUCUCUAGGUUAGGGUAAACUGUUAAGAUUUUAACUUACUCAUUUUACCUUCCACCAUGGGGUUUGCAACCGUCACUUGUGCCUUGAGCAGUUAAAAGAUAGAACGGUCAAGUCAAGCGCCAUGUCUCUUAUUCUUGAUCAGCUAUAGCUCUAGGGUUUUUGCAAAUUUUCAAAUAAAACUCAGAGAUUCCUUAUAUGACUCUCUCAGAUCUCUCUUUUGUGGUAUUUCUGGAUCCUUACCAAGGUAGUAAUGGUAUAUGCCUUCUCUCAAAGUAUGUGGUAUUUUUGGUAUGAGGCAUAGUGAUAUUGCCUUCUCUCUCACCCUACUCUAAUAAGGUUUUGAUAUUUGGAGCUCAUAGUUGGGAGACAGCUAAUACAUACUUACAAGACAUUUAUUGCAUAGUCAAACCAUGGAUCCAGAGAAACAAGUCAAUAAGUCAAAUCAAGAUGUGCAUGUGUGGCGAGUGAAUGGUGUAUGGUGAUGAUGGUGAUAACAAUGAUGAAAGUCUAAUUCUACUUUUGCUCUUUUAAGGGGAUACAUACCUUUCUUGCACUUUGAAGCUUUUUUGGGGAGAAUGAGAUGCUCUAUAUUUUAUUUUUCUUUCCUCUCAGGUGGGUAUCUUGUACCCCUAAUUCUACUGUCGGACACUUGUCCAUUUUUACCUCUCGCCUCACUUUUUCUUUUCUUCGAGGUUCCGGGCACUUGCCCCUUUUUAUUUCCUCGUAUUAUUUUUUUUUCUUCUUUUUUUUAGAGCACUCAUCUCCUGAAAGAAUGUAGCAAGUGGUAGUAACCAAAAUAACUGGAGCAUUUAUUUCACAGGGAAUAACAGGGAUAGGAAAAUAUUUUUAGCUAUUCUCUCCCGGAUUAGGAGUAGAAUAAUUUUGGGUGAAUGUGGAGAUGGAAAUGAGUGGAUAUAUGUGGAUGGUACUUCCGGAGUAGAAGUAGCAUGUAUGAGUGAACGUGCAAGUGAAUCUUGAUUUUAACCACAUGACAAGCUCCUAAGGGUCUACACAGCUUGACCACACUCAAUGCUCAUAAGCAGUAAAAAGUAAAUAUGUGGCUCAAAGUCUAGCAAGCAUGUAUAUAUGGCUGUGGUAGGAUUUUAAACUCUCAUCAUACAGGAACUCAUCAUGUGUUAUUUUAAAGAUUUUUUUCAAAGAUAAAAUUCUCCAGAAUUCUAGCAUCUCUAGGAACAGAUAAACAGCAGCUCAACCUUCCCAUAUCAUAUCCGUUAACGACUUAGACUUUAGAUCAAGUACUCUUCCCACAAGUUUAGGUUUAGAGCAAGCUUUAAAUUAUAACAGUUAUGCCUAAACUUGAGAGAGAUUUCAAUUUUAAGAACUAGUCAUGGCAGAGCAACUAUUCAUCAUUUCUAUGAGAGAGUUUAUCAUGAGUGUUCAUAGCAAACUUUAUUUAUUUAUUUAUUUAGCAAAUUAAGCAAAGAUAUAUAUAUAAGCAUAAAAUCUUUAUUUGGUUUUUCCUGGUUUAUGUAUAUUUAUAUUUUAAUAUAGUAUAAGUAUAAAGAUAGAUAGAUAGAUAGAUAGAUAGAUAGAUAGAUAGAUAGAUAGAUAGAUAGAUAGAUAGAUAGAUAGAAAUACUUAUCGGGAUAAAUGGGGGUGCUCUCCCCCAAGCUGAAUUUUGACGUAAUUUCUCUUGAUGUAGUUAGCAGGUGGCAAAGGUGUACUUGAAAGUCAGCAGUAUUCUGAUAGCGAUUAAAAUGUCCUCCGUCUGCUAGUCUUCUUGAUUCUUAAAUCCUGUGGAGCUCAAAUAGACAACAAAGCUUUGUGGAACUGGUCAAGUGUUAGCAUAAAUACCUAGCCUUUAUCAUGUUGAGCCUCCUCAAUAAAUAUUAUUUAUUUAGCAGGAUCAUGCACUUAUUAUUUUUAUAUUUUUUUAUUGUAAAAUGAAAACUUAUUUAUUUUAUUUUUAUGCCAUGAGCAUACUCACAGUGAAUGUACUUAUGAGUUUUAUGCCAUGAGCAUACUCACAUGGGGCUUACUAUUUUUUUUUAACAUUUUUAUUUUCUUUUCAAGAUAGCAUGAACCUGAUUAACUAAGCAAACUAUAAUUGAAUAAUUGAAAGGAAAAGGAUAACUACCAAGUUUACCUCUUGGCAAGGUGUUCGGUGUUUUUAAGUCCUCCGAACGGGACUCUCCGUUUUCUCAGUCGUCCUGGGAUUCGCUAGGUGGCGUAGUCGGUGAUUCCGGCGGCGCCUCUCUUCGUGUAUAACUAUCUUCUCUCUCCACACCUGACUCGGUGCUACGGUCUGCUCAGGACAGUUCUAUUCAAGCUGUAUGUCUUCAGUCCUUAUCACUUCUCCUUCGUAGUCUACCCAUCCGUCCUUGAUGAUUUGCCUCCUCUGGUUGCGGUUGCGUUGUCUUCUUCUUGUCCUGACCUGCUUAGAGUCUUCAACUAUAUAGUUAUGGUCAGUAAAAUAGUUGCGUACCUUCUCAGAGGGAAAGUACAUGUGGACUUCUCCGGUUCCAAUGUAGAUGAUGGCUUUGAUAGUGUUGGAGGAACGGUCGUCCAAGGAUGGUAGGUAGAUCGUACUCGUCUUCUUCCAUGUCAAUGUUCUGAAAAUCAUCUGGAGCUGAAUAUAUAUUGGUUGUAGGGGCAUGGUUCCAUGCAGGAGCUGAUAAGUGACUACGGUCAUUACGUUGACGUCACAUCCGGUGUCGUAGAGUGUCUUCUAAAAAGAGUAUCUGUUGAUUGUGCACUCAAUGCUUGGAACACCAGGGUCGUCCUUCUUGAUCAAGAAAGGUGACUUGAGUCGACGAUCUUGACCUCUUACGAUAAGGAUCCAAUGUUUUAAGUCUUCUGGACAAGACUUCUCACUGUCUUCAUCCUUUAGGUGCAUCAUUUGAUUAGGUGUGGACCUUGACGUCUGCACCUCUUGAUACGGUGUCACCUAUGUUCUUUGUUUGCCCAGCAGUUCGAAGUGCGGUGUUGGCAAUAUCCUGCUCAGUGUGUUUGUGCUCAUAGAUCCAGGUCCUUCACUUGGUGGAGUCUAGGAGUUGUAAAACUCCUUCAGGUCUUGCUCGAAGUGUACCUAUUCAUAGAGACAAGGCAGAGAUCAAGUGCAUGGGCCCUGAUGGUGGAAAACACCAACAGAACCAAAAGUAUAUUUAUUCUUCUCUAACCUUAAGCAUAGUGAGCAAGACAAAGUUGAUGGAUAAUAAGAUCAGGAGUGUAGUAUUUAAAACAUUUGUCAGAUCAGAUGGCUCAACCUAAUGGAAAGAUAAUCUAUCUAUAUUUAUGUUUUGUUUAUAUCUUCCAAAGAUUGAAUGUGCGACAUAUUAACUUAUAUGAUUAGGAGUGUGGGAUCACGGAGGUAGUACUAAGAACAAAGAUUAAAGGACUAAACAUGUUGAAUUAAUUGGGUUGAUUAAUUUGGAGCUACAAAUCAUACAUGUUUGUCACUUUUAUUCAUGUGUAUGCCAGAACCAAAGAGAAGCUUAUAAAAGCAAUAGUCAAGUACCUUAAGGUGUUACCUUACUUGAAGAGUGACGGUACAGUAUCACCUUGUGGAAGCUUUCCUUUCUUAGCGGUUGUGCAUCGUGUUUGUGGCACCCUCCAGGGAUCAUCUCUUAUGAGCUACGUCUUCCUUGUGUAAAUUGUUAAACUUCAUGUGUCCCUCUCCUUGUCUCCAAUGUGAGUUUAUCUCAGGACUUCCCAGGUUGAUAUUGAAAGUUUUCCUGCAGGGGUUAGUACAACAAAAUAUCCCAUAUCUACUAUAGCAUACUAUCGGCUCCAAAAUCAACCUAGACACCAUGUCUAAUUUGAUUUAGAAGGGCAUUUUAUCCUAAGCACCACGCUUAAUUUAAAUGCCAUUGGAAGUGUGUCCAGUACUUCCAAACUAACACUUACUAGGAUAAACAAAGGUAGCAUGAUGGCUUUUAUAGAGAUCUACUCAAGUGGAGAUGAAGUAGUGUACUUAACAAAUUGAGCAUGUCUCAAAGGUAAGGACAACCAAUAUAGUGUUGACGGUUCUUAAGUAUCAAUUUUAAUUAUCAAAUAAACAAGAGAAAGGACCAAUAUGCAACCAUGACCUAGAAUUAGGGUUUGAUUUGAUAGAAUUCCACGAGUUUUGUUGUUUAUCUGUUUCUGCAAGGGGUUAUCAGGAAAUAAGGAAGAAAGGCCCACAAGUCGGGAUUACAUAGAGAUAUCAACGCACCGCACGAUUUUACAUCAUCUAGAAGACUCCAGAAGCCACGAGACCGAAGCGGAGGCGAAACUGGGCCAGGCCCAGGGCGCCCGCCCUGGUAGCCUGGGCGCCCACCCCCCUGUUGGAGCCAAAUCAGGACUCUUUCGCUCGGUAUAUUCCACCGACCUAUUGGAUCAAGAAAAACAUAGUACCACCUCGCCUAUCGACCCAAAAACGCAUAGAAGGGGAGGACUAUAUAAGCAAGGCCCCCUAGCCCCUGGAGAAGACAUGAAGAAAUUAUCAUAGAGACUGAGGGGUGCCCUCGAAGGAAAACCUCUUCUCUAAUUAAUAUUUCUUUUUAGGCUUAGCAAUCAAUGUAAGGUAGAAAUAGAUCUUCUAGUUUCUACUAGAUUGAGAGAGAUAGAGUGGAGGUGUAGAGUGGAGGAAGCCCGGCCUGUCGGUGUCUACUCCAAGCUUGUACCUGCGGGAUCAAGUUCUCCUAACCCGAAGCUUGCUCCUAGGAUUCUUCAGUAAUUCGACUUCUAAAUUCUAGUAAGUUCUUGUUUUAUUGUUCUUAUGGUUUAUGAGUUUACUUUAAUCUCUUCGCAUAGAGUUUAGAGUAAUCAUUGCUGGCGUAAACGUGGUGUUUAGGCUGGGGUACUCAUAGAUCUUCCCUGACUAGCUGGACCGUGGUAGUAGUGAGGAACGUGACAAUUCCGAGCUACCUUUGUAGAUCACAUCUCGUUAGCAGGAAGGAUAGGGUUUAUAGGUGCGGGUUGAACAUCCUUUGUGGUGUCUAGAUUCCGUUAGCCUCCCUAUUAGAACAGUAGAUCAUCCUUACCAAGGUUAGAAGGAGACUACGGUUGCAGUCUUCUCUAUUUAUCACUCACAUCGAAAGACAUUCUUUGUGCCUAAAGGUUAGUAGUAAUAGACCGGUUAGUCAGAUGCACUCUUUCUCCUAGUGGUAAAAAAAUAAAUACGAUACUCUGGAUAACCUCCCGGGUGAAGUGCUCACCGAUAUCCGUGCGCUUGCAGAUCAAUUCCUUAUUGCGUUCCCAAAUAUCAACAUAUAGCAGCAUGGAAAGGAUGUUUUAUGUAAAGUACUCCCCCAAAAUUCAAGAUUGGAUGAAUUUAAUUUAAUGUUGCAUGAUGAUUGGUUGGGCAUACCUUGCGCUUGUCAUUCAUUCGAUCUUCUUGCUCCAAUCCUGGAAAGGUUAGUGGCAAGAAUACCUGAAGGAAUAUUUCUAUAAUUAUCUCAAUAUGCUCCAUACACAAGGCAAUGUUGCAAAUAAUUAGAAGUUCAUGUUACGAUCUGAUAAGUGUUUGCUAAGCUUAUCCUUGGGAAACCAUCAAGUUAUGUUGGUGAAGUGGUUUCCCCUCCAACACCUACCUAUAUCAAGAUCAACUCAACGAGAUCUACAACAUUUAUUAUAGACAUAUGCAUCGACAACCACUCUUUUAAAGUUUUUAUAAAUAGAAAGGAAGAGGGGGUUGGAGAUCUCAAAUGUGGUGAUGAUGGAGAGACCGAUUGAUUGGGGAGAUGUUUUAUAUGAGCAAGGACUUGGUAAGGUAUUUAUGAAAUAACUUCCAAGCUCACUGUUGUUUCUCUCAUUCUCAAACUCCAAGGAUGAUUCUUCAUGAAUGCUUAAAAUUCUUCUAGGAUUGUCUCUCAAGUUUGUUUUAUCUAUCCAUUCAAUGGUGAUAGCACAUGGAUUUUUAAUGCCCUUUAGCCAUUGAUGUUGCUCUUCUCGAUCCUCCUUGUGAUCUUGGUGACUCUUAUGCAUGGGAUGUCUAGAGAGAUUCAUAGGAUUAUCGGGAGGUUCAAGAGAAAGAGCAUAGAGAUUAUUAGGCUCAAGGAUGGGAUGGAUAUCCGAAUUAUGGGAUUGAAAUGUUUGGAAAUUGGCUAUGGAAACUUCCUUUCCUCGUCUGGGAGAUGAUUCCUUCUCUAUCUCUAAGAUUUUUCUAUGAAGACUAGUGAAAGAAGGAUGUCCACAAAUGAAGACAUACCUUCAUUUACUAAUAGAUAAAGAAAGAAAGACACUACCAAAUGUUAUAUGAUUAAGACCAAUGUGAAAAUAUUUAGGAAAAACAUGGUCUUGUAGGGCUAGGUCUAAACCAGAAUUUAUAGAAAGAUUAACAGAUUCCCUAGGUGUAGCUAAAAGUGCAUUAUCUUCUUGAUUAAAAGAUAGGACCUCAGCUAUAGAAAAGGGUUGGUUUUGACCUAUUGCAAUCAACUCCGGACACAGAUCAUAAUUAGGGGCAGGACGUGUUGACUCCCAUGGUCUAUGGCUGGUCUCCGAAGGUGCAAAGAAUUCAAUAAUAGGUACGGAAUUUAAGUUAUCCAUAAAGAUAAAAAGAUAAAAGAAUAAAAGUAUAAAAGUAUAAUACAAGAUAAUAGCAAGACUCAAAGUUAUCUCAGCAAACCGUCUUUCUUCCCGGCAACGGCGCCAGAAAUGCUUGUUGAUAUUUGGUAACGCAAUUAGAAAAUGAUCCGCAAGCGCACGGAUAUCGGUGAGCAUUUCACCCGGGAGGUUAUCCAGAGUUAUCGUAUUUAUAUUUUUACCACUGGGAGAAAGGGUGCAUCUGACUAACCAAAUCUAUUGCUACUACCCCUUUAGGCUACAAAGAAUGUCUCUCGAUGUGAGUGAUGUAUAGAGAAGACUACAACCGUAGUCUCGUUCUAACCUUGGUAAGGAUGAUCUACGGUUCUAUUGGGGAGGCCCACGGAAUCUAGACAACACAAAGGAUGUUCGACCCGCACCUAUAAACCUACCCGUCCUGCUAACGAGAUGUGGAAUACAAAGGUAACUCGGAAAUGUCACGUUCCCCGCUACUACCACGGUCCAGCUAGUCAGGGGAUAUCUAUGAGUACCCUAGCCUAAACACCAUGUUUACGCUAACAAGUGAUUACUCUAAUACUCAACCGGAAGAGGAUUAAAGUAAACUCAUAAACCAAAGAACAAUAAAACAAGAACUUACUAGUAUUAGAAGUUGUUGGGUAUUUUAAACGCAAACAGAAAAAUCCGUAAGCGCACGGAUAUCGAUGUAGCCUUCACCCGGGAGUAUUCCAGAGUAUCGAUUUUCCACAGGGAACGUGAGUGUCCUAAUUAAGAUUCAAGAUCGCCCAAGGAUAACUAUAUAAUUAUUUUUUUUUGGUGGGAAGAGAGGAAGUUUCCUGAGAGUUCUCUAGUUGAUCUAAGAAUCAAGAAUUACUUCAAGAUUAUCUAUUUCGGGACAUCAGAGCACUAACCACAGAAAGAGAUGAGAAGGGGGCUAGGAAGGUCUGACUACGGUCCUACAAACACCGAUCCGAACGAGGUGGAAUACGUCGACCGUUAGGGCUGUCACUACCCUAAGGCUACCACAACAAUCCGCAGGAUUGGGUGCAAUUCCAGGUAAUUGCAAGACUAAACACCACGUCUAAUCUAUUAAUUACUACUCUAAUGUUGCAAAGAUUAGAGCACUUGAUGCAAGCGGGAAUCCAAUAAAUAACUUGAAUGUAAAUAAAAGUAAUUAAAGAACUCAGGAUUAUGAAUUGAAGAACCUGGAGAACGAUGAAGAACGAACCAGUUGCGGCAAAAGUACAAUGUUGAGGAAGAUCCGACAGAUCCGGCUCCUCCUCCUCCGCUCUCCUCUUCUCUCUCCCUAUUUUCUUGAUUACAACUAGAACUAACUAGAACUAGAACUAGAGGAACUAGAACUAGAACUAGAUGAACUAGAACUAGAUCUAGAUGAACUAGAGGUAGAACUAGAAGAACUAGAGGGAUCCUCUCUACUUGGAUGAAGAAUUGAAACCCUAGCUUUGAUUCUGUAGAAGAGGUAUGAUCUUCAGGGGCCAGGGGGUCUGGUUUUAUAGUCCCUUCAAGUGAAUCUAGGCCGUCGGAUCAAACCGACAUUGAUCGCAUGGUUUUCCUUGAUCCUUUAGGUCGGUGGAGCAUAAUCCGCGAAACGUGUCCUGAUUGGGCACUGUAGCUGGGCGGGCGCCCAGGAGAGUUGGGCGGGCGCCCUGCCUCCGAGCCCGAUUUCCUUCCCGUUCGUUCCCGUGGCUUCUAGAGUCUUCUAGAUGAUAGAAAAUUGCGCGACACGUUAAUAUCUCUAUGUAAACCCGACGUGUGGGAGUUUCUUCCGUAUUUCCUGAUAACCCCCUGCAGAAAUAGACAAACACCAAAACUCGUGGAAUUCUGUCAGAUAAAACCCUAAUUCUAGGUGUUGGUUGCAUUUGGAUCCUUUUCCAUGAUUAGUUGAUGGUUAAAUCUGAGCAUUAAGGACCGUCAACAGAAGCAAGCCUCGGGUUAGGAGACUUGAUCCCGCAGGUACAACUCGGAGUAGACACCGACAGGCCGGCCUUCCUCCGAUCCACACCUCCACUCUAUCUCUCUCAAUCUAGUAGAAACUAGAAGAUCUAUUUCUACUUUACAUUGGUUGCUAAGCCUAAAAAGAAAUAUUAUUUAGAGAAGAGGUUUUCCUUCGAGGGCACCCCUCAAUCUCUAUGAUAAUUUCUUGUCUUCUCCAGGGGCCAGGGGGGUCUCCUUAUAUAGUCCUCCUCCUCUAUGCGUUUUUGGUUCAGCAGGCGAUGUGGUACUAAACUUUCCACCAUAUCUCAUUAAAAUGCACAUAGGCCUUAAUGGACCAAAAUCUGAUUUGGGCCCAAUUAAUCCCGCAGCUCUUUUAUAUGGAGUCCUUUUAUUAAUAUCUCUUGAUUCCGAACUCCAAAUAUAGCAAAUAAUAUAUGCAUUUCGAUCAGCUCGACAAGAUCUUUGCAAUGGUGUACUCCAUUCUGUGAUUGGUGGAAACACCUGGGCGGGCGCCCAAGGGGGGUGGGCGGGCGCCCUGCCCUCGGGCCCGUUUGCCUUCUCGUUCGUUCCCGUGGCUUCUGGAGUCUUCUAGAUGGUAGAAAAUUGCGUGGUGCGUUGAUAUCUCUAUGUAAUCCCGACAUGUGGGCCUUUCUUCCUUAUUUCCUGAUAACCCCCUGCAGAAAUAGACAAACACCAAAACUCGUGGAAUUCUGUCAAAUAAAACCCUAAGUCUAGAUGUUGAUUUCAUGUGGAUCCUUUUCUUUGUUUAUUUGAUAAUUAAAUUUGAUACUUAAGGACCGUCAACAGUACUCAGCUAGACUUACCCGACAUAAAUUAAAAUAAAGACUCUUCAAGGAUCAUGAAGGCUAUAUAGUGAGGUAGCUGACGACCAUUUUGCAAAACCGCAGAAUUCUAUUAUCAUCACCUAGAUAAAUCUUUUCUUCUUUUAAUUUGCUCAAGUUGAAGGUAUCAUUACCUAUUAUCAAGGUUUUGCACCUGAACUAUUACAAGCAAUUAUAAAGAUAUGAUAGUACCUCAUCAUAGCAUUCAUAAACCAUUUAUCAUUAUAACCCAAGUGCUCCAUAGUCCUUACUACGAGGACGAAGCUCAUGUCAAGUGCUCACUAUCCAGGAGCGAUGGCGAUUCGAAUCGAUUUCUAACCAGCUGGCGAGGUAUUCCCCACACAAACCACACUCACUGAUCAAGUGAGCUACAGAUCACCGUAUUACACUAUCCAGGACCAAUUCGCGGGUUCGGCAGGCACCGCCAGUACCCGAGGACCGUUCCGGCGACCGAGGUAUCCAAGGUAUACCAAGGUUGCGCGCCGCGCCCUCGUCAUUCUCCUCAACCAUCACCAAUACAGCGCAUGGCGGCUCGAUUCCCGGCCCGGAUAGUGUUCAGGCUUCGCGGUCGGAACGGCUUAUCCUUCCAGCUAAGUGUGGGGCAUGCGUUCAACAUGACAAGAGGGCCGUCAACGACCGGUCCUUAAUCGACACAGGCAGAGGCACUAUGGUCAAACCACCAUAAGACCCGGCCUGGUCUCAAAUUCCAUUCCACACUUGGUUAUUCUUUUCCCAAAGCAACCACUGCUUACCCAAGCAGGUAUCCACCUAUAUCUCGCAGGUGACCGGAAAUCACCCGACUUCUACCGGACUAUGCAAGCUAAGCAUCGACUCCGUACCUAUCUACAUAGGACAAGGUAGAUAAAUGAGGGGUGAUAUCAAGGAGUACCAAUGCAUCAACGGUAUCAACCAACUCCUAUCACUUAGAUGCAGUAAUAUAGAACAAGCAUAAUAUAUCCUGUAAGUUAGCGAGAAUAGGGAGACUUAGAAUGCUCUGGGGCUUGCCUUUCUCAAACAUGCUGGCUCGGUGAUGCGGACACUCCUGCAGUUCCUCUCUGGACUCCUGUGCUUCCGGAGGUUCCUGCUCGUGAAUCUCCUCUGGUUCCUCGGGUCCCACCUCGUUCUCCUGCGAGCCUGUAUGAUGCAUGUGUGCUCAUGAGUGGAGUGCGAGAUGCCCGAGUGGAUGCUUGUAUGAGAAGGUACCAAAGGAUCAUGACAUGAUGCAUAGAUGAUACACUUGGUCAUGCUCAUUACAAGGUAGUCAACAUCAUCCAGGAACAGACAAUUGGACUAAACAUCUAGUGCAUUCUCUUCUACAAGUAUUUUUCAAGUGUGACCAGCAACCCACAAGUUGCUUCAAAGAUACACCAAACCCAAACUUAUUCUAUUCAACCUAUACAUACAACAAUUCAUAAUUUUCUUUAUUCAUUUCUAGGCCCAUUAAAUUUACAUGCAGUUCUGUUCAUGAAUAAAUUCCUCAAAAAUCACAGGAGACUACCAGUCAAGCAUAAAGUCUACUGUAAAUUUUUCAUAAUUUUUGGAUACUUAUUUUGAGCUACAAAAAUCACAGGAUUAAUUAAUAAGGUAAGUAUAAUCACUCUACUGUGAUAUAAGUGUCAAACAACAGAUUUCAUAUUUUUACAAUUUGUCUAAUAUCAUAAGAUACACCCACAAAAUUUUCCAGAUUUAUUGCAUGAUCCAAUUAAUUUUUAAAAAUCAUAAACCACUGCCAUGCAAGCAUUUAAAUUACCAUAAAUUCAUUUAUACACCAAAUAAUAUGUAGCAAUAUUUUCCCAGUGAGUAAACAUACAUGCAGAGCCAACAAAUCAAGUUUCACAUUUUUCUCAACCAUAUUUUAAUUACUAUGCAUUUUCAAAGUUUAGCAAAAAACAUGGAUUAAAUAUUUUCAUACAGAAAAGUUACUCAAACAUGACAUGCAAUUACAUCAAACUGUAGAUCUGGAAAUAUAGAGCACACCAAAAUUUAUUUCAUCAAAUUUCGAGCUGUAGAACUCAAGAUAUGAAUUUUAAAACUUUCGAAUCGAUUUCUGGAAAACAUUUAUUCAAGAAAACCGACGAAAAAGGCUAAACACACCCUGAUCUACACCCACCGGGGUCCCCCUGUGACUGACAGUGGGCCUCUGGCCCCACUGUUCAGCGAGACUGAGAGGGAGCUCACCUCCGACGAGCAGAUCUCGCCGGCGGUGAGGUCCCCGGCCACGGGGUGAGCACCAACGUGCUCCCCGCAGCGAGGCGCACCCAGCGGUACUCUCGGAUUGACCGGAGGAUGGCCGGAGCACCUCCGACGAGCGUGCAUGGUGGCACAGCGGCGCUGCUCGCCGUGGCCAGGCCGCUCGGGCGUGGUAGAGCGUGCGCAUACGGCUCUCCGAGCUUCCUCACCACCCUACCGACCUAGCGCAACCAAAAACCAGCAAAAAGAGGCAGGGAAACGCAAGAUACGUCGCGGCGGAGUACUCCGGCGAGCUCGGGGUAACUCCGGCGAGCUAUUCACGGCGCUCGAUGGACUCUCACCUCGGUAGAACGCUCGCACAAGCUUACCCUAACGAUGGCAAAGGCGCUGGUGGCUUCGGUGUCGAGUUUUGGUCACCGGAGUGGCCGGCGGUGAGCAGCGGAGCUGCUCCGGCGAUGGCGCCGCGGCGGAGUUCUACGGCUCGGUUGCGCUCGCGAGCGGAGGGAGGAAGGAGAAGGGCGUGGGCGACAGGAUGGAGGGAAUGGCCUGGGAGCCCGAGCCGGCGUCCCGACCAGGGGGUGUUGGAGGCCGGCCGCGGCGCGCUCCUCGCCAGCGUACGGCCGCCAUGUGGCCGACGCUGGCUGGGACGAGGCGCGUCCGCGCGCGGGAGAGAGGGGGAGGGGGAAGCAGGCCGGGCCGCUCGCUGGGCCGAAAGGGAGGCGGGGUUGGCCCGGCAGCGCCUGCCCCUUUUCAUUUUUUUUUGAAUUUCUUUUCUCCAAAUCCUUUCUAAAUUCAUUUGGACCAAUUUAAAAUCAUUUUCACCUCUUGCUCCCAAAAACAAAGUUGUUCCAAAACAAAAACCCCACAACUUUGUUUUAAUAAGCAAGACCAAAUUCCCAACAGAAUUUGAAUUACAAAUUAAAACUAGUUCUAGGUUUUCAAAUAAAUUCAAUUUGGGGAUUUUUGUAUAAAUUCCAUUUCUCAAAUUCUAUAGCUCCAAAAAUUGCACAAAAAUAUUCUUAAUUCUUCUUACACAUAAUUCAACCUAGUUUGAAUAUUUCACAUUUUUAGAAGCAAGCAUCAUAUUUUUAGCAUAAUUAAAACACAUGAAAUAAAGCACACAAAAUCAUGUUUUUGGGAUGAAUGACAUGCUCAUGAUGCUAUGCUUGAUGAGAAUGCUUAUGCAUGUUGUAAUAGGGCUAAAUGCAUGCUUAACACCUAGGGUGUUACAGGGGCCAUUGCUCAGGCUGGCAAGGCUAUCGAGGAUCUCCGCGUUGCCAACACUGUGCUGGCCCGCUCCACCAAAGAGAUCGAGAGGGCCAACACCAGACUAGUUGGCGAGAACACGGCCUUGGAGGAGAGUGUCCGUAGUACGUUUCCUCUGUCGGAUUUCUUUUUUGAGGUGUGCUUGGUUUUUCCUAAAGUUUCUUGUAUUGGCAUUUACAGGGCUUAAGGACGAACUCUUAGCCACCCAAGUUGAGGCCCGUAGUGCUAAGGCCCAGCUCGAGGCGGAGGUUGCUUUGAACCGUCGAGUGCGGACGGCGAUAAACGACCUCUCGACCUCUUGGGAGGUCGAGCCUAUGGACGAGUCGAAGGAGGUCGAGCCUAUGGUCGACCAGCUGUGCUACUUAGGCGCGAUGCUGAGAGAUCGGGUGCGGGAUGCCCUCCACAUCGGGGUGAAGCGGGCGAUGGCGGUUGUCUGCUCGGGCUUCACCUACGACAUGGAGGUGGUGUCCCACGGCUUCGUCACCGACAUCUCCAUGACCGACGCGGAGAACGAAGAGAGGCUCCAUGCCUUGAUCGACGACGCGGAGGCUCCUGGAGAGAGGCUGGCCAAGCUUUCUGAGCCUGAGGUGCUUCCUCCUGAGACUAGCUCGGGCGCAGGCGAGGGUGGUGAGGAUCGUGCUGUAGACUAAGGCCUGCGAGCCUUCUUUGGGUGCUGGGGGCCCCUUGUAUAGUACUCCUAUUAACUUGUUUUUAAGGGAUAUGGUGUCUUUAAGUAUUUGUUAAAUGUUUAUCUGUCUUUCCGCUCAAGGCUCUUUUAUUUCCCUUUGCGCCUACGUUUGUAUUCCUCGUUCGAUCUUUUGUCAAAAACAGCCUGGAUCACCUCAAGGGUGGGGAAGUGAGUAGAGUUUCCAUAGCCUGGGGGCGUAGGAGUUCUCAGGCUUGUUGUCCCUCGUCCCUUAAGGGGCUGGAGGCACCUCAACUUACUCGAACGUGCAAGGUUUACUAGGUUUCUUGGCUUUUUCGACACUUGGGGGGGUCGCCCCCCCUGGUAGCCCCCGAGGGAGUAUCGACUAUGAUGGGUCAUAGUUGGUACUCCCUUCUGACGUCGAGAUUUGAGAAAGUAAAUCGCUCGAGGGAAAGACUUCAUUUAUUCAUACAUUCAUUUACAAGGCCUUGGUACAGAAUGUACGUAGGAACAUAAAGUUUUGAACUUCUAGGGGUAGAAUCGACGUAGCUGUUCGAUGUUCCACGCGUUGGUGAAGAUCGUCCCCUUUUCAUCCGCGAGCUUGUAUGUCCCUGGCUUCAGGACCUCGGCCACCACGUAUGGGCCCUCCCAAGGUGGAGUCAGCUUGUGGCGUCCUUGAUUACUUUGCCGGCGUCGUAGGACAAGGUCGCCCACGUUUAAGUCCCUCUUGCGCACGUGGUUGUCGUGGUAGCGUCGAAGUCUCUGCUGGUAUCUGGCAGAGUUAAGGAGGGCCAUGUCUCGAGCCUCCUCGAGUUGGUCGACCAUGUUUUCUUGAGUCUCCUUAUUUGAUUGCUCGUUGUACGCUUUAAGUCGAGGGGACCCAUACUCGAGGUCUGUGGGGAGGACGGCCUUAGAGCCAUAGACCAUGAAGAAUGGGGUGUAUUUUGUGGCCCUGCUUGGUGUUGUCCUUAGGCUCCAUAGGACCGAGGAAAGCUCCUCGACCCACUUUUUGCCGAAUUUCUUCAAGCGAUUGUAGAUCCUUGGCUUGAGUCCUUGUAAAAUCCUACCGUUGGCACGCUCGACCUGGCCGUUAGUUCGAGGGUGGGCUACUGCAGACCAGUUCACACGGAUGUGAUGCUGAUCGCAGAAGUCCAAGAACUUUUUGCCGGUGAACUGAGUGCCGUUGUCGGUGUUGAUGACGUUGGGAAUCCCAAACCGGUGGAUGAUGUCGGUGAAGAAAAGGACGGCCUGCUCGGAGCGGAUGUUGGUGAUGGGUCGAGCCUCGAUCCAUUUGGAGAAUUUGUCGAUGGCCACGAGCAAGUGGGUGUACCCUCCUUUCGCCUAUUGUAGGGGCCCUACUAAGUCGAGCCCCCACACCGCAAAUGGCCAUGUAAUGGGGAUCAUCUGAAGAGCGUGGGCGGGCAGAUGCGUCUGUUUGGCGUAGAACUGGCACCCAUGACAUGAGCGUACGAUCUUGAUGGCAUCUGUUACGGCCGUUGGCCAGUAGAAGCCUUGUCCGAAGGCGUUACCUACGAGGGUCCGUGGAGCGGCGUGGUGGCCGCAAGCCCCCGAGUGUAAGUCCUCGAGGAGUUUCCGGCCUUCUUCCACGGUGAUGCAACGCUGCAAGACCCCCAUCGGGCUUCGUCGAUAUAGCUCAUUGCCUUCGCCAUAAAUCACAUAUGACUUGGCCUGUCGAGCGAUACGGCGGGCCUCAGACCGAUCUUCUGGCAGCUCGCAGCGGAUUAGGCAGUCGAGGAACGGUGUACGCCAGUUGAGCGGUCGACCGGGCCGCUGUUCUACCUCCAUCACCUCAACUGCCAUCAAUGGUGCGUCGACGGUGUCGGUUGGCUGGGCGAGAGCGGCAUCGACGCCAGCCCCCAAGCCCAAGUCGACGGAUGGCUCGUGAAGAUCUUUCGAGAACGCGUCAGGUGGUACCGUGCCUCAGGUCGACGCGAUCUUGGCGAGUUCGUCGGCUGCCUCGUUGUAGCGUCGGGCGACAUGGACGAGCUCGAGGCCAUGGAAUUUGUCCUCGAGUCGACGGACUUCUUUGCAGUAUGCCUCCAUUUUCGGGUCGUGGCAGCUUGAAGUCUUCAUCACUUGGUCGAUGACAAGUUGGGAGUCGCCUCGGACGUCGAGGCGUCGGACCCCUAGCGCGAUGUCGAUCUUGAGACCGUUGACGAGGGCCUUGUAUUCUGCGACAUUGUUGGAUGCGGCAAAGUGAAUCCUGAUGAUGUACCUCAUAUGGACGCCCAAGGGCGAGAUGAAUAGCAGGCCGGCCCUGGCCCCCAUCUUCAUGAGUGACCUGUCGAAAUACAUCAUCCACAGCUCCGACUGGACCUGAGUUGGGGGAAGCUGGGAGUCUGUCCAUUCCGCGACGAAGUCUACCAGAGCUUGCGAUUUGAUGGCCUUGCGAGGCGCAUAAGUGAGAGUCUCACUCAUGAGCUCGACCGACCAUUUAGCUAUUCUUCCCGUGGCCUCCUUACUCUGGAUUAUCUCACCCAGGGGGAAAGAUGAGACCACCAUGAUAGGGUGGCCGAGGAAGUAGUGCUGCAGCUUACGGCGGGCGAGGAUUACGGCAUAGAUCAGCUUCUGGAUUUGGGGGUAACGUCCCUUGGUCUCUGAGAGCACCUCGCUGUCGAAAUAUACUGGCCUCUGGACUGGCAACGCAUGCCCCUCCUCCUGCCUUUCGACCACCACCACUGCACUGACAACCUAGGUCGUCAAGGCAACAUAAAGGAGCAGUGGUUCCGCAGGUUGAGGUGGGACUAUGACUGGUGCUUAGGUCAGUGUUUUCUUCAGAUUUUCGAGGGCUCCCUCGGCCUCGGGGGUCCAAGAAAAACGAUCGACCUUCUUCAGGAGUCGAUACAGCGGUAGCGCCUUUUCUCCUAAUCUCGAGAUGAAACAGCUCAGCGCCGCUAGGCAUCCCGUGACUCUCUGCACACCCUUGAUGUCUCGAAUCGGCCCCAUCCUUGUGAUGGCUGAGACUUUCUCGGGGUUGGCCUCGAUGCCGCGCUGGGAAACAAUGUAGCCCAAGAGCAUGCCUCGUGGCACACCGAAAACGCAUUUCUCGGGAUUCAGCUUGAUCUGGUUGGCGUGUAAGCAGCUAAAGCGAUCUUGAGGUCCUGGAUCAGGUCUCCUUGACGCUUUGAUUUGACGACUAUGUCGUCGACAUAGGCCUCGACCGUCGACCCUAUAUGCUUGCCAAAUACGUGGAGCAUGCAACGUUGGUAUGUGGCUCCCGCAUUUUGAAGCCCAAACGGCAUGCUUACAUAGCUGUACAUCCCGAGAGGUGUGAUGAAAGAGGUCGCGAGCUGGUCGGACUCUUUCAUUUUUAUUUGAUGGUAACCAGAAUAUGCAUCAAGAAAAGAAAGGGUUUCACAUCCCGCAGUAGAAUCAACAAUUUGAUCAAUACGUGGUAAUGGAAAGGGAAUUUUCGGACAUGCUUUAUUUAAACUCGUAUAAUCGACACACAUCCUCAUUUUCCCAUUCUUUUUCUUAACUAGUACAGGGUUUGCUAACCAGUCAGGAUGAUGAACCUCCUUGAUGAAUCCGGCCGACAAAAGCUUGUGGACCUCCUCGCCAAUGAUCUUGCACUUCUCCUCGUCGAAUCGGCAUAACCGUUGCUUCACUGGCUUGGAACCGGCUCGAAUCUGCAAGGAGUGCUCGGCGACCUCCCUCGGUAUGCCUGGCAUGUCCGAGGGACUCCAUGCAAACAUGUCGGCGUUCGCAUGGAGAAAGUCGACGAGCACAGCUUCCUAUUUGGGGCCGAGGUCGGCGCUGAUCGUCAGCACCUUGCCGUCGGAGUUGUUGGGGUCGAGCGGGAUCUUCUUGGUUCCCUCUGCCGGCUCGAAGCUGCCCGCGUGGUGUUUGGGCUCUGGAGCCUCAGCGGCCAGGGCCUCGAGUUUUGCGACGAGCUCGGUGGAGUUCUCUACCGCCUCCCCAUACUCGACGCACUCGAUGUCGCAUUCGUAAGCGUGCUCGAAGGAGGAGCUGAUAGUGAUGACGCCUUUGGGACCGGGCAUCUUCAGCUUCAAGUAGGUGUAGUUGGGUAUAGCCAUGAACUUUGCGUAGCCCGGGCGCCCGAUGAUGGCGUGGUACGUGCCCCGGAACCCGACCACCUCAAAGGUGAGGGUCUCCUUCCUGAAGUUGGCCGCCGUGCCAAAGCAGACCGGUAAGUCGAUUCGACCUACUGGCAGCGCCUUUUUCCCUGGCACAACGCCGUGGAAACCACCGGCGCUUGGUUGAAGCCGUCCCCUGUCGAUGCCAAGGAGGUCGAGGGUCUCGAGGUAGAUGAUGUUGAGGCUGCUGCCUCCGUCCAUUAGCACCUUCGAGAGCCUGGUAUUGACGAUGAUGGGGUCGACGACGAGCGGGUAGACGCCUGGGGCAACCACCUUGUCGGGGUGAUCCUCUCGGUCGAAGGUGAUGGGUGUGCUCGACCAGCUGAGGUACUGGGGCACCGCCAUUCUUGCCGCGAAGACCUCACGACGUUCCCUCUUGCGCUGCCUUGCAGUCAACUGCGUCGAGGGCCCACCAUAGAUCAUGUAGCAGUCGUGGACGACAGGGAAACCAUCGUCGUCCUUGUUGCCCUCCUUGUCACCACCCUUCUCCUUCUUGGGGUCGUCGUGCGCGUCCUUUCUGAACCCUAGGCCGUCGAAAUGCUUUUUCAGCAUACGACAGUCCUUGAGCUUGUGGUUGGCUCCUCCUUUGUGGUAAGGGCAUGGUUCCUCUAGCAUCUUAUCGAAGAUACCUCCAUAUAGGGGGGCCUUGAGGCUUCUUCCGCUCCAUGGCGGCGAUGAGGUCGUCGUCGAAGUUCUCCUGCUUGAACUGCCGCACCUUCUACUUCUUCUUGUUCUUCUUGAGCCCUCGACUAGGGGUCUCGUCUUCAUCGGCGGGCUGCUUGCCUUUCCUUCCUUCACAACUGAAGAAGGCACCGACUGCUUCCUCCCCUGCUGCGUAGUUUGCCACUACGUCCAUGAUCUCAUCGACGGUCUGAGGUCGGUUCCGACCCAAUUCCCGCACCAAGUCUCGACUGGUGGUACCAGAGACAAAUGCCAGGAUGACGUCGUGGUCGGGGAUAUGUGGCAGCUCGGUGUGCUGUUUUGAGAAGUGUCGAGCAUACUCUCAAAGAGUUUCUCACGACUUCUGCUUGCACUUGCUGAGGUCCCAUGAGUUCCUGGGCUGUAUGUAGGUCCCUUUGAAAUUACCCUCGAAGACACUAACCAAAUCGACCCAGUCGUGGAUCUGAUUUGCUGGGAGUUCCUCGAGCCACCGAUGGGCACUGUCGGAGAGGAAGAGUGGUAGCUGUCUGAUGAUGGCUCGAUCAUCUCCUCGAGCGCCUCCUAGCUGACAGGCCAGCCUAAAAUCGGCCAGCCACAACUCUGGUUUGGUCUCGCCAUUGUAUUUCGCGAUGCUGGUUGGGGGUCGGAAUGGACUGGGCAGGGGCGUGCUGCGGAUUGCCCUGCUGAACACCCGUGGGCCUGGUGGCUCGGGGGCCAUCCGGUCCUCGUCGCUGUCAUACCUCCCACCGCGGUGUGCGCUGUAACCGCGCUCUUCCGCAUCCCCAUACCGACGGCGUCGAUUCUCUUCGAUGUCAUGCCGCACGUCGUGUCGACGUUGAUUGUCGACAGGGAGGACGAGAGUGGCCUUUCUUCCUCGAGGGGGAGGCUGUUGAUGGACUGACACCUCCUUUUCGUUUUGGGGCGGCUCAUCGCGCUUUUCAGUGGCGGCUCCUCGUCGUCGAGAAGCCCAGCUUUCGGCUUGUUGAACCGCCGCUACCUGGAGCAGAGUCUGCACCUCGUCUCGAAUGCGUCGAGCUUGGGAAUUUGAUGGCUCUGGCAUGUUGCAUAGCAGCAUUGUUGCUGCCACUACGUUCUGGCCUGCUCGAGAGAAGCGGCUGACGGGUUGCUCUGGCUCCACGUCUCCGACGAUUUGCCGGUGUACCUCUCGAGCUCGCCUACAGACACUUCCGCCGGGCGGGUAAGGCAAGUCUUGUUCGAGGAUUUGCUCAAGCAGGACGAGGUGCUCACGGUCUUCGUCGAGCUUUGUCUUGAGCUCUCAUAGUUGCGCAAGCUGCACAGCCCUGUCUUCCUAUGGAAGUGGAUCGACCUAUCCGCCGUUCCCAGGCGUCCUGGGGUCUUCCCUUGCUGCGGGGGCUCGACCGCCCGCAGCUGCGUCCUGCGUCUCGUCGGUAGUUAUCUCGUCAGUAGUAAAAUAUAAUCAUCAAAUAAACAAAGAAAAGGAUCUAAAUGAAAUCAACAUCCAGACUUAGGGUUUUAUCUGACAGAAUUCCACGAGUUUUGGUGUUUGUCUAUUUCUACAGGGGGUUAUCAGGAAAUACGGAAGAAAGGCCCACACAUCGGGAUUACAUAGAGAUAUUAACGUGCCGCGCAAUUAUCUUACAUCUAGAAGACUCCAGAAGCCACGAGAACGAAGCGGAGGCGAAACGGCGCCUGGCCCUGGGCGCCCGCCCAGGAGACCAGGGCACCCGCCCCCUGUUGGAGUCCAAUCAGGACACCCUUUUGGGAUUACGCUCCACCGACCUAAAGGAUCAAGGAUAACCGUUCAAUCAAUAUCGGUUUGAUCCAACGGCCCAUAUUCACUCGAAGGGACUAUAAAACCAGAACCCGUGGCCCCUGGAGGAGAGAGCCUCUCAACCCUAAUUCAUUAUUCCUCAAGGGAGAAGAAGCCUCUGAUCAAGCCUAGAGCCACCACAUCAAUUAGACAUCUAGAUUAGCAUAGCUACAUAGGAUUAGAACUAGAAGGAGUCAAUCUUCGAUUGGUUUCCGGAUCUGUCAAGAGGAUUCUUGGUAAUUCUCUAAUUGUUCUUCUAAUUGUUCAUCAUUGUUCUUCAAUAUUAUGAAUAUGACUUUGCUCUACUUCAAUAUAUUGCUUAUGACUUUGCUCUACUUGUUUAUAUUCAAGAUUAUAUUGUUCUUAGUUUAUCAUAGUUAUAUACUUGGCUUAGUUAGAUUGGAUCUAUAUACAUGUUUAGGAUCGUAUAGCAUUUAUCUAUUGGAUCCAUGGGUAAAUGAUAGAUAUUGUGUAGGCGUGGUGCUUAUACCGUAUUUAUCUGCGAUUGUACCCAAUAUGCCAGAUCAUGGGGUAGUUCGUGAUAGUGACAGUUUCAUUGAUUCUUAUAUAGUCCCCCUCUCGUGUAUUGGGCUGGCAGAGCAACAUUAUUAUAGGGGAGUGAUUAUGAUGUUUCACAUAUUCCUUGCUAUAUCACUAUGCAUGGGCGUAGUCCUGUCUCGCAAUGAUUGCUAAGUAUACUUGCACUAACUAUGAUAAUGCUAGACUGUAUAGUUAAGAAUAACUUAGGAAAUAUUCUGUGGCUAAGUUAUGCUAAUCAGAUUAAUUAUCUUUGUCACUAUUCAUUACUUUAUAUAUCCUUUAUGUGACACUUAUCCCUGUAUGAAAGAGUUAGAUAAAUGUUCUCAAUUAUACAUGCAAUGAUAGAUGCUCAAUCUUAUAUUCCAUUCUAUAAUCAACAUUGAUGGUUACUAAUCCCUUCCCAGUGGGAAAAAUAUAAAUAACGAUACCUGGAAUACUUCCCGGUUAAAAUGCUACAUCGGUAUUUAUUUAGAUGAGCAAUUGCAUAUUUCAAUACCGCGUCUCUUAUGUCAUGCUGGGGAUGACAACUUGGCUUAAGUGGCAUGGGAGAUAGUUUUGGCAUUUUUGGCGCCGUUAUCAGAAUGAGAAAACUAAGUCUACUUUUGGUAAUGAUGUUAAGAAUACCCAGCAAUAUCCUGAAGGAAGGGAACCUCUACUACUAGAGAACAAACCUUUCAUCGAUGUGCCAAAUGAGCUUUAGUCCUAGCAUUUUUGGCGCCCGGGACAAAAGAGAUCUUUAGUCCCGGUUGGUAACGCCAACCGGGACUAACGAUCCCUCCCCAACGGCUCCGGUGUCAGGCGCUGUCGGGGAGGGACCUUUAGCCCCAGUGGAUGUUACCAACUGGGACUAAACACCUACCUUUAGCCUCGGUUUGUUCCACUAACUGGGACUAAACCUUUUGUCCCGGUCGUUGGCACCAACCGGGGCUAAAGGUAGGUGUUUAGUCCCGGUUGGUAACACCAACCAGGACUAAACCCUCCCCGCUAUAAAUUGAAUCUCCCUCCUCCCUUCUUGCACUCCCUGCCCGAGCCCGUGGUCCUUUAUUCUUGCUUGUUCUUCCAUUGUUCUUGCUUGUUAUUGCUCUCAUCUUCCGCGAUCGAUCCAUUUCAACGCUUCUACGCCGUUGUCGAUUUGUUUGAAAGGUUGCUAGCUUCAUCCUCCUAUGUUUCUCACCGCCAUAUGUAAUUUCAUGUUGGACAUAUGGCUAUUUUAAUUAUUUCAUGUUGCUAUCUCUCCAAUCAUCAUCUUCUCAUGUUUGAAUUUUUUUGAACGAUGCUAAGUGUGUGCCCGCUAGAAACUAGUGUACACAAAUCAUUACUACUAUGUAUACACAAAUCAUGUUUAGUUCUAUUAUAGAUAUUAUAGGAUAUUUUUACUUUAAUAUGGUCAUGUUCUUAUUUUAAAAUAUAUUUGUUGGACCAAACAUGGAGAGACUGGGUUAUGAUGGAAGAAGGUGAAGAAGAGCAAGCGUACCCUGACGAUGUUUUUGCUCAAUACUGCGACUUCGCGGUAUAGGACAAAGGUGAAGAAGACGGGGAUGCAGGAAACAGUAUCAUUGAUGAUGACGAUGCUCUUGGUGAUGUCAUUCACGACGUACAGAGAAAUUGCAAAAGUGCAAAGGAGAAGGCUAAAUUUGACCAAAUGCUAGAGGAUCACAAGAAGCUACUCUACCCAUCGGCCGAAGAGGGACAAAAAAAGCUAGGCACGACACUAGAGUUGUUACCAUGGAAGGCAGAGAAUGGUAUUUCUGACAAUGCAUUUGGAAAAUUACUCAAGAUCCAAAAAAAGAUGCUUCCGAAGCCUAAUGAGUUACCCACCACUACAUACGAAGCAAAAAAGAUCGUCUGUCCUUUGGGGUUACAAAUCAAAAAGAUACAUGUAUGCCCUAAUGACUACAUCCUAUACCGUGGCGAGCACGAGAAAUUAGAUGACUACCCUGUUUGCCAUGCGUCACAGUACAAGAUCUUGCGGGAUGACCCUGGCGAUGUUGAGGAUGAAGAACGUCCGAGGAAGAGAAUCCCUGCCAAGGUUAUGUGGUAUGCUCCAAUAGUUCCAUGCCUAAACAUUUGUUCAGAAAUAAGGAGCAUGCAAAGUUGUUGCGAUGGCACAAACAAGACCGUAAGGUGGACAACAUGUUGAGACACCCUGCAGAUGGUUCUCAGUGGAGAGGAAUCGAUAGUGAAUUCCAAGACUUUGCGGAGGACGCAAGAAACCUAAGGUUCGCAUUGAGUACGGAUGGAUUUAAUCCUUUUGGGGACCAGAGCUCUAGUCAUAGCACCUGGCCCGUUACUCUAUGUAUCUACAACCUUCCUCCGUGGUUAUGCAUGAAGCAGAAGUUCAUUAUGAUGCCGGUGCUCAUCCAAGGUCCGAAGCAACAUGGCAACGACAUCGAUGUUUACCUGAGGCCAUUGGUUGAGGAACUCCAGCUUCUAUGGAGCAAACCAGGUGUGCGUAUGUGGGAUGAGUACAAACAGGAAGCAUUCGACCUACGAGCAUUAUUGUUCAUGACAAUCAAUGAUUGGCUAGCUCUAAUCAAUCUUUCAGGAUAGACAAACAAGGGAUAUAAUGCUUGCUCCCAUUGCUUUGGUGACGUUCAAGCUAUCUAUGUGAAAAAAUGUCGAAAGGUUGUGUAUCCUGGCCAUCGUUGAUUUCUUGCUAAGAACCACCAGUUGAGAAAGAAAGGCGAACAUUUUAAAGGUAUGAGAGAACACUGGUCCAAGCCAUGCAACUGAGAUGGGGUAGAGGUAUUCGAGAUGGUCAAAGAUUUGAAUGUACUAUUUGGAAAGGGAGAAGGCAGCAAACCUGUUCCGAAAGACACUUCGGGGCGUGCCCCAAUGUGGAAGAAAUAGUCAAUAUUUUGGGAGCUACCAUAUUGGAAACACCUUGAGGUCCGCCACUCCAUCGACAUGAUGCACCUGACAAAGAAUCUUUGUGUCAAUCUCCUAGGGUUUAUGGGUGUGUUUGGAAAGCCUAAGGAUACCCUUGAGGCUCGAGAGGACUUAAAGCGCAUGAAAGAACGAGACAACCUGCAUGCAAAGCAGACAGAUGAUGGACGCCAGUAUUUUAAGACCUGCUAGCUACACUCUUAGCAAUGAGGAGAAGGAAAUCAUGUUUGAGUGCCUAAGCAGCAUCAAGGUCCCAUCUGGGUUCUCCUCCAACAUAAAGCUUAUAAUAAAUGUGCCAGAGAAAAAAUUUGUCAACUUAAAAUCGCACGACUGCCACGUGAUUAUGACACAACUGCUUCUGGUUGCCUUAAGAGGAAUUCUACCUCCACAUGUACGUCUGGCCACCGUGAAGUAGUGUGCAUUCCUCAAUGCAAUUUCUCAGAAGGCAAUAAAUCCUCUUGAUCUAGCUACUCUACAGAACGAUGUAGUUCAAUGUCUUGUCAGCUUUGAGUUGGUGUUUCCUCCAUCUAUCUUUGAUAUCAUGACACAUCUCCUAGUUCACCUGGUCAAAGAUAUUAAUAUCCUGGGUCCUAUCUUCCUACACAACAUGUUUCCCUUAGAGAGAUUUAUGGGUGUACUGAAAAAAUAUGUUCACCAGCGGGGUCGGCCAGAAGGAAGCAUCAUCAAGGGAUAUGGGAUAGAGGAGGUCAUUGAGUUCUGUGUGGACUUCAUUCCUGAUCUUGACCCGAUUGGUCUUCCUGAAUCAAGGUAUGAGGGGAGACUCGGUGGAAAAGGGUACACUAGGAAAGAAAACAUAUAUCAGCCAGAGUGAUGAUUUAUUCCAUAAAGUGCACUACACAGUCCUUCGAAACUCCAUUGUGGUGGAACCCUAUAUUGAGGAACAUAUGGAUUUUGUAUGAUCCGAGAAUCCUAGAAAGAAUGAGACUUGGGUUAUGCGUUAUCACAUGGAAACAUUCGGUGACUGGUUGUGAAAAAAAUGCCAAGGUGAUAAAGAUAUUGUAGAUGAACUUUAUUUGUUGGCUAGGCAACCAGCGUGGCACGUCAUCACGUACAAAGGAUACGAGAUAAAUGGAAAUACAUUUUACACCGUAACACAAGAUAAAAAGAGUACAAACCAAAACAGUGGUGUCCGUGUGGAUGCCACUGACAUGAAUGGGGACAGGCACACAUAUUAUGUUCGUAUAGAGGAGAUUUGGGAACUAGACUAUGCACAUAAUUUUAAAGUCCCUUUAUUCCGAUGCCAAUGGGUGAAGAUGAAAUGAGGGGUAUUGAUCGAUAAGGAGUACGGAAUGACAACAGUGGACCUCAACAAUAUUGGAUAUACAAACGAUCCAUUCGUCCUUGGUACUAAGGUGAAUCAAGUGUUCUAUGUGAAAGACAUGUCUACAAAACCCAAGAGAGGGAAACAAGAUGAGAAAAACACAAACGAGCCAAAGCGCCACAUCGUUCUUACAGGGAAAAGAAACAUCGUGGGAAUUGAAGACAAGUUAGACGUGUCAGAGGAUUAUGAAAAGGAUGAACGGAUCCCACCCUUCUGUGUGGGCAAAGACCCAAGCAUCAUGCUCGCUGUAGAGGACACUCCAUGGUUACAGAAUAUUCAUAACCAAGGGCAUUACGUUAAGAAAAAUUUUACCAUUGUGCUAGCUUGAUAAUGGUAGUGAUUUGUACUUGACAUCUUGUGUAAUAUAAUUGUAACAUUAUGUGUAAUAUAAUUCUAACAUCUUGAUAAUGUGGAUUUUGAACUACACUUUGCCAGCACUUUGUGAAAUGCAAAAAUGGUCUAUAUAUGAAAUGUAGAUCUUGAUGAGUGGAGCAAUAUUGGUAUUCAUGAGUUUUCCAUUUGAGGCCAUCCGUGGUUCCAAAAAUUAGCGUUUUGCUAUGAAUUCUUUCAAAUUUCCAAAUUGAGUGGUCCAACUUUUUCAAAUGAAAAUGUGACCAUUAGAGAAAAUGUAGACCCUGAUGAGUGGAACAAACUUUGUAUUCAUGAGUUUUCCAUUUGAGGCCAUCUAUGGCUCGGUCAAAGUGUGUGUUUGUGAAACCCACUGUUUUGACUUUGGUCAAACUUGGUCAAAUGACCCAUCUGAGGACUUCAAAUGGAAAACUAUUGGAUACCAAGUUGUUAGAGCUCAUCAACACCUACAUUUCAUACAUGGACCAUAUUUUCAUCCGGAUAAAUUUGAUCGAGUCCCAGUCACAUGUUUUCAAAUUCGAAGACGGGCUUUGGUCAAACUAGGUCAAACGAUGGAGAAAAUGACUUGGAAUGAAAAUCUUUUGAAUACCAAGUUGUUAGAGCUCAUCAAUAUCCAAACUUUUUAUAUAGACCAUUUUUCUAUUUGGAAAAGUUUAUGUAAACAAUACUCACCAAAACUUGAAUCUCACACAAACUAUAUGAAACUAUACGUGGGAAGUGUGGAUUUUGAACUACACUUUGCCAACACUUUGUUAAUGCAAAAAUGGUCUAUAUAUGAAAUGUAGAUCUUGAUGAGUGGAGCAAUAUUGGUAUUCAUGAGUUUUCCAUUUGAGGCCAUCCAUGGUUCCAAAAAUUAGCGUUUCGCUAUGAAUUCUUUCAAAUUUCCAAAUUGAGUGGUCCAACUUUUUCAAAUGAAAAUGUGACCAUUAGAGAAAAUGUAGACCCUAAUGAGUGGAACAAACUUUGUAUUCAUGAGUUUUCCAUUUGAGGCCAUCUAGGGCUCGGUCAAAGUGUGUGUUUGUGAAACCCACUAUUUUGACUUUGGUCAAACUUGGUCAAAUGACCCAUCUGAGUACUUCAAAUGGAAAACUUUUGAAUACCAAGUUGUUAGAGCUCAUCAAGACCUACAUUUCAUACACGGAUCAUAUUUUCAUCUGGAUAAAUUUGAUCGAGUCCCAUGCACAUGUUUUCAAAUUCAAAGACGGGCUUUGGUCAAACUUGGUCAAACGAUGGAGAAAAUGACUGCGAAUGAAAAUAUUUUGAAUACCAAGUUGUUAGAGCUCAUCAAUAUGCAAACUUUUUAUAUAGACCAUUUUUUCAUUUGGAAAAGUUUAUGUAAACAAUACUCACCAAAUCUUGAAUCUCACACAAACUAUAUGAAACUAUACGUGAGAAGUGCGGAUUUUGAACUACACUUUGCCAGCACUUUGUCAAAUGUAAAAAUGGUCUAUAUAUGAAAUGUAGAUCUUGAUGAGGGGAGCAAUAUUGGUAUUCAUGAGUUUUCCAUUUCAGGCCAUCCAUGGUUCCGAAAAUUAGUGCUUCGCUAUGAAUUCUUUCAAAUUUCAAAAUUGGGUGGCCCAAACUUUUUCAAAUGAAAUUGUGACCAUUAGAGAAAAUGUAGACCUUGAUGAGUGGAACAAACUUUGUAUUCAUGAGUUUUCCAUUUGAGGCCAUCCAGGCCUCGGUAAAAGUGUGUGUUUGUGAAAUCCACUAUUUUGACUUUGGUCAAACUUGGUCAAAUGACCCAUCUGAGGACUUCAAAUGGAAAACUAUUGAAUACCAAGUUGUUAGAGCUCAUCAACACCUACAUUUCAUACAUGGACCAUAUUUUCAUCCGGAUAAAUUUGAUCGAGUCCCAGUCACAUGUUUUCAAAUUCGAAGACGGGCUUUGGUCAAACUAGGUCAAACGAUGGAGAAAAUGACUUGGAAUGAAAAUCUUUUGAAUACCAAGUUGUUAGAGCUCAUCAAUAUCCAAACUUUUUAUAUAGACCAUUUUUAUAUUUGGAAAAGUUUAUGUAAACAAUACUCACCAAAACUUGAAUCUCACACAAACUAUAUGAAACUAUACGUGGGAAGUGUGGAUUUUGAACUACACUUUGCCAGCACUUUGUUAAUGCAAAAAUGGUCUAUAUAUGAAAUGUAGAUCUUGAUGAGUGGAGCAAUAUUGGUACUCAUGAGUUUUCCAUUUGAGGCCAUCCAUGGUUCCAAAAAUUAGCGUUUCGCUAUGAAUUCUUUCAAAUUUCCAAAUUGAGUGGUCCAACUUUUUCAAAUGAAAAUGUGACCAUUAGAGAAAAUAUAGACCCUAAUGAGUGGAACAAACUUUGUAUUCAUGAGUUUUCCAUUUGAGGCCAUCUAGGGCUCGGUCAAAGUGUGUGUUUGUGAAACCCACUGUUUUGACUUUGGUCAAACUUGGUCAAAUGACCCAUCUGAGUACUUCAAAUGGAAAACUUUUGAAUACCAAGUUGUUAGAGCUCAUCAAGACCUACAUUUCAUACACGGAUCAUAUUUUCAUCUGGAUAAAUUUGAUCGAGUCCCAUGCACAUGUUUUCAAAUUCAAAGACGGGCUUUGGUCAAACUUGGUCAAACGAUGGAGAAAAUGACUGGGAAUGAAAAUAUUUUGAAUACCAAGUUGUUAGAGCUCAUCAAUAUCCAAACUUUUUAUAUAGACCAUUUUUCCAUUUGGAAAAGUUUAUGUAAACAAUACUCACCAAAUCUUGAAUCUCACACAAACUAUAUGAAACUAUACGUGAGAAGUGUGGAUUUCGAACGACACUUUGCCAGCACUUUGUCAAAUGCAAAAAUGGUCUAUAUAUGAAAUGUAGAUCUUAAUGAGUGGAGCAAUAUUGGUAUUCAUGAGUUUUCCAUUUGAGGCCAUCCAUGGUUCCGAAAAUUAGCGUUACGCUAUGAACUCUUUCAAAUUUCAAAAUUGAGUGGUCUAAUCUUUUUCAAAUGAAAAUGUGACCAUUAGAGAAAAUAUAGGUCUUGAUGAGUGCAACAAACUUUGUAUUCAUGAGUUUUCUAUUUGAGGCCAUCCAGGGUUCCAAAAUCUAUCUUACAGCUUUUGAAAAUUUAAAUUUCAAAUUUAUACAAUAAAUGUCGCGCAUUUGUAUAAAUAUUAUUAAAGAAAUAAAAGUUUAACGUCUAAAUGACCCAAAAACCAAGUAUGAAAUAAAAGCCAAUAAUUUUUUAAAAUUUAAUUGCCAUUAUAUUUUUGCAUUAACACAAUAUUCAUUAUAAAUAACAUUAUUUUUGAAUAAUAUGAAAUAUUUGAAAAUCAAUUCUGUUUAGAAUUUUUAUACUGAAGAGUAGAGCAGAAUAAAAUUAAUAUGUAUUUUUUCAACAAUUUUAUUAGAUUUAUUUAAUUUAUAAUGCAUUUAACAAUGUAAAAGGGAAAAAAGGAAAAACUAAAUUAUGGCGCCUAAACUGGCGCCAUAAUUUGGUGAAAACUCUUUGUCUCGGGCCGAGCUAGCGCCCGGGACUAAAGGGUCUUUAAUCUCGGUUCCAGCGAGGAACCGGGACUAAGCUCGGCCCGGGACUAAAGGUGCCCUGCCAUAUAAAGGGCAGAGCCCUUCUUCCUCCUGCCCACCGCGCCCGCGUCGAUCUUACCGUAACCGCCGCCGACCCGUCGUCUUCUCUGCCGCCGCUCCGUCGAUCUCGUCCUUGCCGCCGUCGUCCUUGCUCCGAGCGCCGCACCGAGGACGCCUCGCCGUACGCCGCGCGCCCACCGCCUCUACUCCCUCUCUCUUUCUCUCUUUCUCGUUCUCGCGCGCGCCGCCGCCACCUCGAUCGGGAACCCGCGAGCUCACCAACCGCCGCCACGCGCGGCUGCGCCCUUCGCGCCCGACAACGGCAGCCGGCGGGGGGCAGUGGCGCGGGCCCCAUGCCGUACGCCGUCGGCCGCGCGGCCACAUGCACCCACACCGGCGGCGUCGCCCGAGCCCCCCGCGCCGCUAAGACAGAGAUCGAGAAAGAAAAAAAAUGAAAAAAAUGAAAAAAAAUAUGAAAUAACAAAGAAAUAACUUUAACUAAAUAUAUAGUAAAAAAUAUUGAUAUUUAUAAUACAUAGUUAGGCCUUGUUUAGUUCUAAAAAAUUUUAGGAAAUCGACACUGUAGCAUUUUUGUUUGUAUUUGACAAAUAUUGUCCAAUCAUUGACUAACUAGGCUCAUGCAUACGUAUCGUUCUAAAAAAGUUUCGUAUCGUUAAUUCCGACCAAACUGUGCAAUUAGUUUUUAUUUUCGUCUAUAUUUCAUACUCCAUGCAUGCAUACGUUUAAAGAUUUGAUGUGACGGAGAAUCUGAAAAAUUUUGCAAAAUUUUAUGGGAACUAUGCCUUAGUAUCAUUGAAAAGAUCUUUCGGUCUAGUUUUUUAACAAAUUUAUUUAGAGACUUGGUUUUUGUUUUCUUCUAUAUUUAGUGCUUCAUGCAUGUGCCAGAAUAUGUAAAUGUGAUAUAAUAUUCGUUCCCUCUUUCUUCCUUCUUCCAGAUCGACGUCUCUCUGUCGUCGUCACCGAAGUCCCCGUCGAGUCUCCGCGCCGACUGCCAUCUCUCCGCCGUCUCACCAUUUCAAACUACACGUAUGUCUAGAGAUGGAUCUAUUAGUGGUACAAUUAGUGCUAUAAUUAGUGGUACAAUUAGUGGUAUAAAUUAGUGGUAUAGUUAUGAUAUAUUUAAUUGUUAGCAAAUGAUAUACACUAAACCCUAAACCUAAGCCCUAAGCCCUAAACCCUAAACCCUAAACCCUAAGGAGUAUGUGCCACCCUCAGAAGGUACGAGGACUUGGUACGCAAAUAUACAAGUUGCACGAGUACUACUUGAGAGUCAGCUCAAAACAUAAGGAAGAAGAAUUGAUUGCCGUCCGAGUCUGCGACCGACACUACUUCGGUGGAGAUGACGUCAUACGGAUAGAUUUUAGUGAAGUACACCAGCUUCUCCAUAUGAAUGCUCUCAACAAAUCUCUCAUGAGCUGCUACUGUCUGUAAGUGAUUCUUCCUUUUAAUUAUUAAUCCCAUUAUAGCAUAUGUAUGUAUUCAUAAUAACUACGAUCACGAUGUGUAGACACAUGAUGAGAGAACAAAGAUUGAAAAAAGACAAUCGAAUUGGUUUCAUCGAUCCAUAUGUCGUGUACAAGGACACCAAGACUAAAGAUCCAUUGAAUCUGAAGCCUAAGGAAAUAGGGAAGAACCUCCGGAGGUUCUUUUAUAAUCAAAGCCAUACAGAGAAGAUACUCUUCCUUUACAAUAUGGGGUAAGUGUUGUGUUAUAUCAUGUCUUAGUUAGUCCGGCAUUAAGAUAUAUUUAUAUAUAAGUUGACACUAAACAAAUGCAGAGAUUAUUGGAUACUCAUUGAGAUUAAGAUCAUGGAACAAAAAAUAAAUGUGUGGGACUCAAUGAAAAAGACCUGGCACUCUAUCAAGGCAUAAUAGACAUUGUUGACGGUCCUUAAUGCUCACAUUUAACUGUCAACUAAUCAUGGAAAAGGACCUAUAUGCAACCAACACCUAAAAUUAGGGUUUCAUCUCACAGAAUUCCACGAGUUUUGGUGUUUGUCUAUUUCUGCAGGGGGUUAUCAGGAAAUAUGGAGGAAAGGCCCACAUGUCGGUUGUAACACCCUAGGUGUUAAACAUGCACUUAGUCUCAUCAACUUAUACAUAAGCAUUCUCAUCAAGCAUAGCAUCACAUGAGCAUGUCAUUCAUUCAAAGUGUGAUUUUAUGUGCUUUAUUUUAUGUGAAUUAAAUGUGGUAAAAAUAUUAUGCUUGCUUCUAAAUUCUUGAAUUGCCCAAAUUAGGUUAAAAUAUGUGUUAAAAGAUUUAAGAGUAAUUUUGUGAUAUUUUUGGAGCUAUAGAAAUUAAGAAAUUGAUUUUAUACAAAAAUUCCCAAAAUAGAUUUAUUUGAAAACCUAUAAAUAGUUUUGAGUUGUAUUUCAAAAUCUAUUUGGAAUUUGUGAAUUCAACCUAAAGAAAAGUUGUAGGGUUUUUGAUUUAGAACAACUUUUGUUUUGGAAGAAAAAGGUGAAAAUGAUUUUAAAAUAGUCCAAAUGAAUUUAGAAAGAGUUUGAGAAAAGAAAUUCUAAAAAAAUGGAAAAGGGAAAGGGGGGCGCUAGCAGGCUGCGGCCUCACUUCUGGCCCGCUAGCCGAAGCCGGCCCAGCCCGCCCGCGCCGUGCCGCCGUGGCACGCCGGUAGAGCUCGGCCGCCGCGUGGCGAGCAUGCGGCAGCCUGGAUGCGCCCCGGUCGGCCACCAGGAGCGCCCGACCGCCUCCGUCUCUGCCUCCGCUACCAUUUGCGAUCCUCUACUCGCGCUCUUGCCUUUCGCUCGCCCGCGCGCCGCAGCUGCCGCUCCGCCGCGCGCCAUCGUCGCCGACGACUUGGAGCUUCUCUCUCAGCCAGCUCCGGCCUCAUCCUUCCUCUCCGCGACCGCCAACAGCUCCGCCUCGUCAUUCCGCGUCGCGUGCUCGCGCUCAACCGCACUCGGUGAGUCCCCGCGCGCCCGGGAGAGCUCACCAGAGUGAGUCGGGACUCCGGUGACCUUUCGUUCCGCGUUGUUCUCCCCCUCUACUCCGCCAUUUCUUGCGCUUUUAGGUGUGUUAGCUUCGCCUCGGCCUCGCGAACCGAUUCCGGCCGUUCGAGCACGCUCUACCGCCGCGUGGUGGCCGGACCGCGGCGAGCAGUGCCGCCGUUCCACCAUGGCCGGUGGCGAGCUUGCUCCCAUCCGUUGCCGCGGAAGUAGGUUCGCUGAGUUCGCCUUGAGCCGUAGAACGCGUAGAGCCACUUGGUUCGCCGAGAGAGGCCGCCGACGGUGAGCUCCGCCUCGCCGGAGUCGCCCUCUCUCUGUGUUCUGGCCAGCGGGCCCGGCUAUCAGGCGGGUCCGUCUCGUCAGUGGCCGCGGGUGCACUGCACCGGGUGCACCUAGCUGGUCCCGGGGGUGGAUUUGAAUUGAUUUUCAGAAAAUGCUUUCCGGAAAAUAGUUUAAAUGAUAUAAAAUCCAUAUCUUGAGAUAUAUAGCUCCAAAAAUGAUGAAAUAAAUUGUGGAGUGUUCUAUAAUUCUAGAUCUACAGUUUAGUAUAGUUGCAUGUCUUGUUUAAACAACUUUUCUGUGCAAAUAUAUUUAAUCCAUGUUUUUGCUGAGAAUUGGAAAAUGCAUAGUAAUUAAAAUAUAGUUCAGAAAAAUAUGAAACUUGUUUUGUUGGCUCUGCAUGGAUGAUUAGGCUCUGGGAAAAUUAUGUUACACAUUAUUUGCUGUAUGAAUUAAUUUAUUGUGAUUUAAAUGCUUGCAUGGCAAUGGUUUAUGAUUUUUAAUAAAUAAUUGGAUCAUGCAAUUAAACUACAAAUUUUUGUGGGUAUUUCUUAUGUUAUUAAGUAAAUUAUAAAAAUAUGAAAUCUGCUAUUUGACACUUAUACCACAGUAGGGUAUUUAUACAUGAUUAUAUGGAUUAAUCUUGUGAUUUUUGUAGCCCAAAAUAAAUGUCCAAAUAUUAUGAAAAACUUAUGGUAGACUUUAUGGUUGACUAGUAGUCUACUCUAAUUUUUGUGGAAUUUUUUGUUAAACAGAGAUAUAUGUUACUUUGUAGGUCCAAGAGUGAUUAAAUAAAAUAAGAGUGGUUAUGCAUGAAUUAAAUAGAAUAAAAGAUUGUUUGGUGUAUCUUUGAAGCAUCUUGUGAGCUUGCUGGUUAACCAUGAAGACAACUUGUAGAAGAGAAUGCAAUAUAUGCUUAGUUCGAUUGUUUAUUCUUGGGUGAUGUUGACUACCUCGUAAAAGUGACCACUUAUAUCAUCUAUACACCAUGUCAUAGUCAUCUGUUACCCACUUGCAUAAGCAUUGUAUCUCGGGCAUCUCGCACUCCACUCAUGAGCACACAUGCAUCAUACAGGCUCGCAGGAGAACGAGGUGGGACCCGAGGAGCAAGAGGAGACCCUGGAGCAGGAACCUCUGGGAGGACUAGAGACCGGAGAGGAGCUGUAGGAGUGCCCGGACCACAGACCGAGCACGUUUGAGAAAGGCAAGCCCCCGAGCAUUCUAAGUCUCCCUAUUCUCGCUAACUUAAAUGAGAUAUUAUGUUUGUUCUACUAUGUUGCAUUUAAGUGAUAGGAAUUGCUUGAUACCGUUGAUGCAUAAGUACUCCUUGAUAUCACCACUUGUUUAUCUACCUUGUCCUAUGUAGAUAGGCACAGAGUCCAUGCUUAGUUUGCUUAGUCCGGUAGAAGUUGGGUGAUUUCCUGUCACCUGCGAGAUAUAGGUGGACACCUGUUUGAUUAGCUGUGAUUGCUAUGAGGAUGAAUAACCAAGUGUGGAAAGGAAUUUGAGACCGGGCAGGGUCUUGUGGUGGGUUGAUCAUAGUGCCCCUGCCUGUGUCGAUUAAGGACCGAUCGUUGACGGCCCUCUUGUCAUGUUGAACGCAUGCCCCACACUUAGCUGGAAGGAUAAGUCGUUCCGACCGCGAAGCCUGAGCACUAUCUGGGCCGGGAAUCGGCCCGAUGUACGCGCUGUAUUGGUGAUGGUUGAGGAGAACGACGAGGGCGCAGCGCACAACCUUUGUAUACGUUGGAUACCUCGGCUGCCGGAACGGUCCUCGGGUACGGGCGGUGCCUGUCGAACCCGCGAAUUGGUCGUGGAUAAUGCAACACGGUGAUCUGUAGCUCACUUGAUCAGUGUGUGUGGUUUGUGUGGGGAAUAAACUCACCAGCUGGUCAGAAAUCGAUUCGAAUCGCCAUCACUCCUGGAUAGUGAGCACUUGACAUGAGCCCUGUCCUCGUAGUAAGGACUAUGGAACAUUUGGGUUAUGAUGAUAAAUGAUUUAUGAAUGCUAUGAUGAGGUACCAUCAUAUUACUACACUUGCUUGUAAUAGUACAGGUGCAAACCUAGAUAAUAGGUACGAUAUUAUCAAACUUGAGCUAAUGAAAAGAAGAAAGGUCUCUAGGCUAUGUUUUAGCGGAAUAAUGCUUUUAUGAAAAGAGUCUCAGCUUCCCCACCAUACAGCCUUCAUGAUCCUUGAAGAGUCUUGAUUUUUGGUUUAUGACGGGUAAGUCUAGCUGGGUACAUUCUCGUACUUAGGGUUCUAUUCCCGUGUUGUUUUGCAGAUGGUCAAAUGUAUUAUGGUUAUUGCAUCCUCUGCUUGUACCCAGCAAUGGGUGACGACUAGACCAAGGGCGAUGGUCACUCUCGCUUCUCUUUUGCUUUUGUGGGAAUAACCGAACUAUGGCACUGUAUCAAACUAAAUGUGUGUGUUUUAUUUUCAAACUAUGAAGCUUCCGCUACGUGAGAACUUGGUUUGUAAUAAUUUUAAGUACUCUGAUGUAUUUGAUGAAUGUUGUGAACUGGAUGUAAUUGUGAAUGGUGACCGCUGAACUUAUUACGAUCUUGGCUGUAUGUAUGAUUUGUGGUUUGAAAUCCUUCGAGAUUUCAUGGACUACCGGGAUUAUAUGGGCUUAAGCUCGGUGGUUUGACUGUGCAAAUGGUCACUAUCAAGCUUAAUCUCUUAUAAUUUGGGCGGUUCUGUUACAUCGGGUUUACACAGAGAUAUUAACGUGUGCGCCAAUUUUCUAUCAUCUAGAAGACUUCAGAAGCCAUGGGAACGAACGGGAGGCCGAGCGGGCCCGAGGGCUGGGUGCGCGCCCUCCCCCCUUCGGCAACUGCCCUGCCCUGGUGACCAAUCAGGGCAGGUCUCGCGGAUCGUGCUCCAUCGCCUUUGAGGAUCAAGGAAAACCGUGCGAUUAAGGUCGGUUUGAUCCGACGGCCCUCGUUCAUUUGGAAGGGCUAUAUAAGCAGGCCCCCUUGCCCCUGGAGAACAUAUCACUUCUACAGAAUCAAAGCUAGGGUUUCAAUUAUUCAUCCAAGUAGAGAGGAUCCCUCUAGUUCAUCUAGUUCUAGUUCAUAUAGUUCUAGUUAUAGUUAGUUCUAGGUUUAAUCUAGAAAAUAGGGAGAGGGAAGAGGAGAGCGGAGGAGGAGCCGGAUCUGUCGGAUCGUCCUCAACAUUGUACUUUUGCAGCAACUGGUUCGUUCUUCAUCGUUCUCCAAGUUCUUCAAUUCAUAAUUCCUGAGUUCUUCAAUUACUUUUAUUUACAUUCAAGUUAUUUUUUGGAUUCCCGCUUGCAUCAAGUGCUCUGUUCUUUAUAAUGCUAGAGUAGUAAUUAAUAGAUUAGACGUGGUGUUUAGUCUUGCAAUUACCUGGAAUUGCACCCAAUCCUGCGGAUUGUUGUGGUAGCCCUAGGGUAGUGACAGCCCUAACGGUCGACGUAUUCCACCUCGUUCGAAUCAGUGUUUGUAGGACCAUAGUCAGAGCUUCCUAGCCCCCUUCUCAUCUCUUUCUGUGGUCAGUGUUCUGAUGUCCCAAAAUAAAUAAUCUUUGAAGUAAUUCUUGAUUCUUAGAUCAACUAGAGAACUCUUAGGAAACUUCCUCUCUUCCCACCAAAAAUAAUUAUAUAGUUAUCCUUCGGAGAUCUUGAAUCUUAAUUAGUACACUCACGUUCCCUAUGGAAAAUCGAUACCCUAGAAUACUCCUGGGUGAAAGCUACAUCGAUAUCCGUGCGCUUGCGGAUUUUUCUGUUUGCGUUUAAAAUACCCAACAAGCUUUCUGGCGCCGUUGUCGGGGAACGAUAGUUGUGCUAGUUUCGAACCAAGUCAUCCGUGUAUCCUUUUUCUUUUCCUUUUUUUACCACACUCACCUUACAAUUUUCACCACACCACAUGGAUUUCACUCCUAUCUAUAAAUUAUUUGCUCCAAAGGGCGAGUUAUUAGAGCCACCACCAUCAUCACAUCCAAUUCUUACAGAUGGUUACGACCUCGGCCUUGAUCUAGUAGCGAUGAUUCAGGAGCAACCCGAAGUAGAUGAAUAUCCAUACACCCACGUUAGAGAAUUCGAGCAGUUGUGCUCUUGCCAAUCUAUUUCCGGCAUGACACAAGAAACCCUUAAAUGGAAAUUAUUUCCGUUCUCCCUUUUGGGUAGAGCAAAAAAGUGGUAUGCUCAUUUUGUAGGAGGCGUUAAUGGAAAUUUGGAUGAACUUCAGGACAACUUUUGUCUCACUUUCUUCCCACUUUUUCGAAACGCUGACCUUAGAAUCAAAAUUCUUACAUUCAAACAAAGAGAGAAGGAAACUUUAGGAGCAGCUUGGGCUAGGUUCACAAACCUUACCAAUUCUUGUCCAAACCUUUACCUGCCUGACCAUGUGCUAUACUACCAUUUUUAUCGUGGUCUAAACAAGGAAGCUGCUCUUCACCUCGACAUUGCUUCAGGAGGCUCAUUCUCACACAAACUCAUAGAUGAGGGGAGAGCUAUCCUAGAGAGAAUCCUUGAAAAUACACCUUACACAGGCAUUUAUGAUGAGUUUCCUGAAGAAGAAAAAGAAGUCGAGCCUAAUCCUAAACCAAAAGAAGAGGAACUUGCAACUGAGUUAGAAAUUCCACCUGACCCAUCUAUUAAUUUGGCUGUAGAGAAACCUCCUGAUAAGGGAAUGCAAAACCAACUAACGGAUAAUGAACCACCACCCUUAGAGCAUCCCUUUGAAUUCGAGGAAGAUCUUUUUGAAGAUUAUGGAAACACCUCAAAUUUUCCUAUCCAAACACGACCUCUAGCAGGGACCACUCAAUCCGUUCUAAGAGUAGAAUCUGUUGACAUAGAACACAUCAAAAGCCUUUCGGCUAUUCUGAGUUAUGAAUGGCUAACAGAAGUAGAGCUGUCACCUAAGGUAGCUCGGAUCAUCACUCCGUCAACAAUUCUUCUGUGCCAAAUUAGAGGGUCCGCUAGCAAGGUCCACUACAAUCCAUAUGUUGGGAUAAAUGUAAUUUCCAAGGAGUUAGCUGACACUCUUUAUCCCAACGAGUCCAUAACCCCAUCUCAAAAACUUUUACAAAGUCCAUCUAGAUUAAUUCUAGAAAGCUAUGGGGUAUUAAGGGCAGUUCCUAUUAGAAUCAAGGACUCUGGAAUAUGUCUAGAUUUUCACAUUUUUGACAUACGAGAGAUUCCUCUCUUGAUUGGCGGACCAAUCAUGAAACUUCUACAAGAACAACCACAACGAGGUCAUUUAGACUUCAAGGAUGGGAAUUCCACUAUUGUUGUUCCUCUUGCCAGAUCAAUUAACACGAUAGUGGAACCCAAACUUGAAUCAGAUCCUAUGGAGGAGAUCUUAAUGCUGACUCAAGAGGAGAUGGCCCAACCAUUCUUGAAUCAUGAACACUUUGUUCAAGAAGAAGAAGAGUUGGUAGAACCCAUUGAGCUAGACAAAAAUGAACAACCUUCACCUCCUUCGAUAGAGUUCUUCCUUCUGGCCUUAGAUAUGUCUUUUUGCACAACAACCCAAAAACUCCAGUAAUUAUCAGUGACAAGCUUUCCGAUUAUGAAACACAACAACUUGUCACUGUUCUUGAAAGGCAUAGAUCAGCAUUUGGCUACUCUCUCGAAGAUCUCACGAGCAUUAGUCCCAUUCUCUGCACUCAUCGUACCCCUAUUGAUCCUAAUUUUACACCUUCAAGGGAACCACAACGGAGACUUAACAAUGCUAUGCGAGAGGUUGUUAAGAAAGAGGUCCUCAAACUCUAUCGUGCUGGGAUUAUUUAUCAUGUGCCACAUAGUGAGUGGGUUAGCCCUGUCCAAGUAGUGCCAAAGAAAGGAGGAAUGACGGUGGUUUCGGAAUGAGAAGAAUGAACUCAUCCCUCAACGAAUUGUCACUGGGUGGCGUAUGUGUAUUGACUAUCGAAAGCUCAACAAGGCUACAAAGAAAUAUCACUUUCUGUUACCCUUCAUUGAUGAAAUGUUGGAACGGCUUGCAAACCACUCUUUUUUUGUUUCCUUGAAGGUUAUUCUGGAUAUCACCAAAUCCCAAUCCACCUAGAUGACCAAGAAAGGACUACCUUUACAUGCCCGUAUGGAACUUAUGCAUAACGACGAAUGUCGUUCGGAUUGUGUAAUGCUCCAGCUUCUUUCCAACGGUGCAUGAUGUCUAUUUUCAAGGACAUGAUUGAGAAGAUCAUGGAGGUUUUCAUGGAUAAUUUUUCCGUCUAUGGCAAAACCUUCGAUCAUUGUUUGGAGAAUUUAGAUAGAGUCUUGCAGCGAUGUGAAGAAAAGCACUUAAUCCUGAACUGGUAGAAAUGCCAUUUUAUGGUUUAGGAAGGAAUAGUGCUAGGACAUAAAGUGUCUGAACGUGGUGUAGAGGUGGACAAAGCAAAGAUUGAAGUUAUUGAAAAACUUCCACCUCCUACGAAUAUGAAAGGAAUACGUAGCUUUUUGGGACAUGCAGGGUUCUAUAGACGCUUUAUCAAGAACUUCUCUCAAAUUGCUAGACCCCUAACUAGUCUCCUAGCUAAGGAUGCACCUUUCAUCUUUAGUGAUGAGUGUCAUGAAUCUUUUCAAACUCUUAAGAAAGCACUCAUCUCAGCCCCAGUUAUCCAACCACCUGAUUGGAAUCUUCCUUUCGAGAUCAUGUGUGAUGCUAGUGAUUUUGAGGUUGGUGCCGUUUUAGGACAAACCAAGGAUAAAAAGCAUUAUGCCAUAUCCUACGCUAGCAAAACCUUGUCUGGACAACAGCUCAAUUACACUACAACUGAAAAAGAGCUUUUGGCUGUUGUCUUUGCUAUAGACAAGUUUAGAUCUUACUUAGUGGGGGCAAAGAUAAUCAUCUAUUCAGACCAUGCUGCUCUCAAGUACCUCCUCACUAAGAAAGAUGCUAAGCCUCGUCUAAUUCGAUGGAUUCUUCUACUCCAAGACUUUAACAUAGAAAUCCGAGAUAGGAAGGGAGUAGAGAAUUCCAUAGUCGAUCACUUGUCUAGGCUUCAAUAUAAGGAAACACAUGAUGAGCUUCCCAUAAAUGACUACCUAAGGGAUGACACCCUGCUUAAGAUAACACAUGCAGAUCCAUGGUACGCAGACAUCGUAAACUUUAUAGUAAAAGGCUAUGUCCCACCGGGUACAAACAAAAGGAAGUUACUUCAUGAUAGUCGUUUCUACCUUUGGGAUGAGCCAUAUCUUUUCCGAGUCUGCGCUGAUGGACUCUUGAGGAGGUGUGUUCCUAUGGCUGAGGCUACUCAAAUUAUGGAAAGAUGCCAUGCCUCGCCAUAUGGAGGACACAAUGGAGCAUUCCGGACACAUGCUAAAAUUUGGCAAAGUGGUUUUUUCUGGCCAACGAUGUAUGAAGAUAUUGGACUUUGUCAGGAGAUGCCACAGAUGUCAAAAACAUGGGAAUAUCAACUCGCAAAAUGAAAUGCCUCUCACAAAUAAUCUUCAAGUAGAACUUUUCGAUGUAUGGGGCAUUGAUUUCAUGGGCCAUUCCCUAUGUCUGGGAAUUACGAGUAUAUCUUAGUAGCUGUGGACUACGUGUCCAAAUGGGUAGAAGCCCUACCUUGUUGAUCAGCUGAUUCAAAACAUUCCAAGAGAAUGUUCCAUGAAGUAAUCUUUCCUCGCUUUGGUAUACCUCGGAUAGUUAUAAGCGAUGGAGGUUCCAACUUCAUCGACAAAAUCUUCCAGAAGUACCUAGCCGAUCUUGGAGUUCGACACAAUGUCGCAACACCAUACCAUCCUCAGACUAGCGAUCAAGCCGAAACAUCUAACAAACAAAUCAAAAAUAUUUUACAAAAGACCGUAGAUGAGAUGGGUAAGGGGUGGAAAGACAAACUUCCUGAUGCACUUUGGGCAUAUAGAACUGCAUUCAAAACACCCAUAGGCAUGUCACCUUAUCAACUUGUAUAUGGAAAAACUUGUCAUUUGCCUGUGGAAGUAGAGUUUAAGGCUCACUGGGCACUCAAGAAAUGGAACAUGGAUCUCCACCUCGCUAGCGAGAAUCGUCUGAUGCAACUAUCUGAGAUAGAAGAAUGGAGAGGGAAAGCCUACCACAAUUCAAGGAUCUAUAAAGAGAGAACAAAACGAUGGCAUGAUAAGAGAAUCAAGCACAAGGUGUUUAAGCCUGGAGAUAAGGUUCUACUAUUCAAUUCAAGAGUUAAGCUCUUUGGGCAUGGUAAGCUACGAAGUAAGUGGGAUGGACCAUACAAGGUUAUUUACACUUCAACUCAUGGAGCCAUUACCAUCCAAGACGACAUAGGUAACACUUUUAUGGUAAAUGGUCAACGCUUGAAAAUCUAUCUCGAGCCACAAAACAACGUGGUAGAGGAACUUGAUGUGAUUGAGUUCAUAGAAUUCUCACAUUAAGCUCUCAUAAGCUCUAGACAAUUACCUAACCCUUAACAUGCUCCACGAGUUUUGUUGUCUAUUUGGGUUGUGCAGGAUAUUGAGGCUUAAGAAGAGUGAGACCGAACAUGCAGGCCACAAAGAGUGAAUGACUAUGUCAUCAUCGAGCUUGGGGGAGGCACCCCCACAUGUAUCUAGAUAAGUAUUACUUUUCUUUCUUGGUUUUAUUUACUAGUAUUCGGAAAUAAAUAAAAAAAAUGCAUAACCAUGAAACCAAACAAAGUUUUUCUUUUGAGUAAUACACAAUAGUUUUGUGUAAUCCUAAGUUUUAAAUAAAAUAAAAAGAAAGUCUGAUCCAAGUCUAGGUAAUUGAUAAACAUGAUAUGAGAAAGUCUGAGCUACUAUUUAACUUGUUCCAAGUUUCGCUAGAGUUCUAGAGAUUUUAUCUUUUGAAAAUCUUUAAAAAAUGAGAUCCUGUUUGACAUAAUACCUUGAGUCUUAUAAGAUAUUGUCGAGGGUGUCAAUAAGGGGUACCCAAACUAAUACGCAUAACAACAAUACCCGUACACCGAGGCCCCUGACUCGACGUCCCAGAUUCAUACGCUCGAUUGCCAAAACGCGAUGACGACCAUAUCCUCGAAUAUGGAGAAGGGGUCAUGCGAAUCGGCUGAGGCUUGACUAAGCAUCGACCAUCGAAUACAGAACUGGCUCAUACGAAUCGACAGGCCUCGAGUGCAAGGACGCCGCCCGCCGCUUGACAUGGGUACAAGAACCAGGGCAUUUAAUGCGCCUGUUGCGUACUUGUUGACGGUUCUUAAGUAUCAAUUUUAAUUAUCAAAUAAACAAGAGAAAGGACCAAUAUGCAACUAACACCUAGAAUUAGGGUUUGAUCUAACAGAAUUCCACGAGUUUUGUUGUUUAUCUAUUUCUUCAGGGGGUUAUCAGAAAAUAAGGAAGAAAGGCCCACAUGUCGGGAUUACAUAGAGAUAUCAACACACCGCACGAUUUUCCACCAUCUAGAAGACUCCAGAAGCCACGGGAAGAAGACGGAGGCCGAAAGGGGCCAGGCCCAGGGCGCCCGCCCUGGUGACCUGGGCGCCCGCCCCCUGCUGGAUUGCUUUCAGCACUCUCUUCGCUCGGGAUAUUCCACUGACCUAUUGGAUCGAGAAAAACAUAGUACCACCUCGCCUAUCGACCCAAAAACGCAGAGAAGGGGAGGACUAUAUAAGGAGACCCCCCUGGCCCCUGGAGAAGACAUGAAGAAAUUAUCAUAGAGACUGAGGGGUGCCGAAGGAAAACCUCUUCUCUAAUUAAUAUUUCUUUUUAGGCUUAGCAAUCAAUGUAAGGUAGAAAUAGAUCUUCUAGUUUCUACUAGAUUGAGAGAGAUAGAGUGGAGGUGUUGAUUGGAGGAAGCCCGGCCUGUCGGUGUCUAUUCCAAGCUUGUACCUGCGGGAUCAAGUUCUCCUAACCCGAAGCUUGCUCCUAGGAUUCUUCAGUAAUUCGACUUCUAAAUUCUAGUAAGUUCUUGUUUUAUUGUUCUUAUGGUUUAUGAGUUUACUUUAAUCUCUUCGCGUAGAGUUUAGAGUAAUCAUUGCUGGCGUAAACGUGGUGUUUAGGCUGGGGUACUCAUAGAUAUUCCCUGACUAGCUGGACCGUGGUAGUAGUGAGGAACGUGACAAUUCCGAGCUACCUUUGUAGAUCACAUCUCGUUAGCAGGAAGGAUAGGGUUUAUAGGUGCGGGUUGAACAUCCUUUGUGGUGUCUAGAUUCCGUUAGCCUCCCCAUUAGAACAGUAGAUCAUCCUUACCAAGGUUAGAAGGAGACUACGGUUGCAGUCUUCUCUAUUUAUCACUCACAUCGAAAGACAUUCUUUGUGCCUAAAGGUUAGUAGUAAUAGACCGGUUAGUCAGAUGCACUCUUUCUCCUAGUGGUAAAAAAAUAAAUACGAUACUCUGGAUAAUUUCCCGGGUGAAGUGCUCACCGAUAUCCUGAGAAAGACGGUUGGUGAGAUAACCUGAGUCUUGCUACUAGCUUGUAUCUAUGAAUCUUUUAUCUUUUAUAUUCUUUAUUUUCUUUACUCUUACCUUAUGGAAAACCAAAAUUCUAAAUCAAUCCAUGAAUCUGCAAUCCCUUUAGCAACUGACCUUUUACCAUGGGAGUCAUCACAGCCUGUCCAAACAUCCCAGUAUAAGUUAAGUUCUAGGUUGAUUGCCAUGAUUCAAAACCUAUCUUUUUCGGGAAAGGAAGACGAAAACCCUUACCUUCAUAUUAGAGAUUUUGAGCAAACAUGUGAUUGUCUUCGCAUUGAAGGCAUUUCUUAUAAAACUUUACGUUGGAAGCUUUUUCCUUUUUCCUUAAGGGGAGAAGCUAGACAAUGGUACAGUCAGAAGGUAAGUCAACAACAAGGUGAAUGGGGAGUUUUACGAGCCAACUUUUGUCUAGAUUUAUAUUCCCUUGACCGUAUAGCCGACCUUAGACUCGAAGUCCUAUCUUUUAAACAAAAAGAUAAUGAAACUUUGGGGAAAUCCUGAAAACGUUUUUCUGAUCUUUUAGAAUCUGGUCCAAACCUUAAUCUUGAAGACCCUGUUCUUUUAUUUCACUUUUUUCAAGGUCUUCAGAAAAAUCACAAACAAAUGCUACACACAAUGUCUAGAGGUUCUUUCUUUCGCAUCCCUGCUGAUGAAGCUAGAGUGAUCCUAGAUAGAAUCCUAGAAGCUGAGAUGGAUAAUACCCUUCAUGAUGAAACCUACGAAGCUGAAGUAGACACUCUGCCAAAUUCUUCAUCUACUUUAGCUAUCCCAAGUUCUGAGCCACAAGAGGAAGAAAUUCCACCACCGGACUUCAUGCUGGAUAUAGAAUCCGAUCUUUUUGCCGAUUUUGGAAAUAUUUCAAACUACCAUUCUAUUGACAAACCCCAAAACGGCCAAUUUAGCAUUUAUUUGCCAAGUGAAUAUCAAUUGAGAGAGCUUAUCUCAGUAAUGAGUAGCGAAUGGUUGGAGGAAUCAGAGCUUUCCUCUAAUGUGAUCCGUUUGGACACAGCCUCUAUAACUAUACGCUGUGCUUAUAAUUCUGAUCGAUUUAAUGCUCUCUAUAAUCCUAUUGUGGGGAUCAACAUCAUGUCUGAAUAUUUUGCACUUAAACUAUUUAAAAAUCUUGUCUUAACCCCCACAACAAAGGUCAUAAAGGAAUCUUCGGGACGAUUAGUCCCCAGUCUUGGAAUUAUUAAUGUCCUACCUCUUACGGCAGAAGGAUCCAUGGUUCAUUUGAACUUCUAUAUCUUUGAUACAUGGGACUUCGACCUGUUAAUAGGACAACCUUUUAGAAGACUCCUUUAUGAAGGUCAUACUAGAAAGCUACACAUUUCUUUUGGAAAAACUUUUAAAUUCCCAAUAACAAUUUCACACUCCUUAAACAAUAAGGCCGAGUCAUAUCUUUUGCCUGAUCCUAUGGAGGAAGUAAAGGCUGCAUCUCUAGAGCUUUUAGAUGAACCAGACUUAGAAGACGAAACUCCUUUCUUCACAGAAGAAGAAGACGAACCUUCUGAGCCUGAACACUUAGAUGAGUUUGCAGAAACACCUAGACCCCCCAUAGAGCUUAAAACUUUACCACCCGGUCUUACUUAUGCUUUCCUAAACAAUAAUCCAGAGUUCCCUGUGAUCAUUAGUGAUAAACUCACUCAGGAUCAAACUCUGCGAUUAAUGACCAUUCUUGAGAAACAUCACUCAGUUUUCGGCUACUCACUCCAAGAUCUUACAGGAAUCAGUCCUAUGAUUUGUACCCAUCGUAUUCCAACAGAUCCUUCUGUUUCACCCUCUCGAGAACCCCAACGUAGACUUAAUAAUACUAUGAGAGAGGUAGUUAAAAAGGAAGUUAUAAAGUCGCUGCAUGCAGGGAUUAUAUAUCCUGUGCCGCACAGUGAGUGGGUAAGCCCAGUACAAGUUGUGCCCAAAAAGGGAGGCAUGACUGUUAUUAUGAAUGAAAAGAACGAGCUAAUUCCGCAACGCACCGUCACAGGAUGGCGGAUGUGCAUAGACUAUAGAAAACUAAACAAAGCCACAAGAAAAGAUCACUUUCCUUUACCUUUCAUAGAUGAGAUGCUAGAGCGGUUAGCAAACCAUUCAUUCUUUUGUUUCUUAGAUGGAUAUUCAGGGUAUCAUCAAAUCCCGAUCCAUCCCGAUGAUCAAAGCAAAACCACUUUUACAUGCCCGUAUGGAACUUAUGCUUAUCGUAGAAUGUCUUUUGGGUUAUGUAAUGCACCAGCUUCUUUUCAAAUAUGCAUGAUGUCUAUAUUUUCUGAUAUGAUUGAAGAGAUUAUGGAAGUUUUCAUGGAUUAUUUCUCUGUUUAUGGAAAAACUUUUGACAGUUGUCUUGAAAACUUAGACAAGGUUUUGCAAAGAUGUGAAGAAAAGCACUUAAUCCUUAAUUGGGAAAAAUGUCAUUUUAUGGUUAGGGAAGGAAUAGUGCUGGGACACUUAGUGUCUGAAAGAGGAAUUGAGGUAGACAAAGCUAAAAUUGAAGUAAUUGAACAAUUACCUCCACCUGUAAACAUAAAAGGAAUUCGAAGCUUUCUUGGCCAUGCUGGUUUUUAUCGUAGAUUCAUAAAAGAUUUUUCAUUUAUUGCUAGACCACUUACUCUUUUGCUAGCCAAGGAUGCUCCUUUCGAAUUUGAUGAUGCAUGUCUAACAUCGUUCAAUUUAUUAAAGAAAGCACUCAUCUCUGCACCAAUCAUUCAACCCCCUGAUUGGUCGCUGCCUUUUGAAAUUAUGUGUGAUGCUAGUGAUUAUGCUGUGGGGGCAGUAUUGGGACAAACUAAAGAUAAGAAGCAUCAUGCAAUUGCUUAUGCCAGUAAAACUUUGACAGGAGAUCAACUUAACUAUGCAACCACUAAAAAAGAGCUUCUGGCUGUUGUCUUUGCCAUUGAUAAAUUUAGAUCUUAUUUAGUUGGAGCUAAAAUAAUUGUUACUAAUCAUGCUGCACUAAAAUAUUUGCUCACUAAAAAAGAUGCUAAACCUCGCCUGAUUAGAUGGAUCUUAUUACUCCAAGAAUUUGACUUAGAAAUAAAAGAUAAAAAAGGAGUAGAAAAUUCUGUUGCUGAUCACUUGUCUAGAAUGUAUUUCAAGAGUCCACAGGAAACCCCCAUCAAUGAUUCACUUCGGGACGACAUGCUCUACGGGAUUAACAGGUCUGACCCCUGGUAUGCAGAUAUUGUUGAUUUUAUGGUUUCAGGGUAUGUACCACCAGGAGCAAACAAGAAGAAGCUUAUUCAAGAAAGUCGUUCACAUAUAUGGGAUGAGCCAUACCUCUUCCAAGUAUGCUCUGAUGGCUUACUCAGGAGAUGUGUGACCAUUGAGGAAGGAUGGAAGAUCAUCGACAGAUGUCAUUCAUCACCAUAUGCCAAGGUCACUAUGGAGCAUUCCGUACACAUUCAAAGAUCUGGCAGUGUGGACUCUACUGGCCUACAAUGUAUGAAGACACGAGGCAAUAUAUCAGAAGAUGUGGGCCAUGUUAAAGACAUGGAAACAUAAAUACAAGGGAUGCAAUGCCACUCACCAACAACCUUCAGAUUGAGCUCUUUGAUGUCUGGGGAAUAGACUACAUGGGUCCAUUUCCUCCAUCAAAGAAGUGCGAGUACAUCUUGGUGGCGGUUGACUAUGUCUCCAAGUGGGUAGAGGCAUUACCUUGCAAGCAUGCUGACAACGUCAGUUCAAAGAGGAUGUUUGAAGAAAUUAUAUUUCCAAGAUUUGGAGUCCCCAGAGUAGUGAUAAGUGAUGGAGGAGCACACUUCAUCGACAAACGCUUCAAGCAAUAUCUAUCAAGACAUGGAAUCCGUCACAACGUCGCUACCCCUUAUCAUCCUCAGACAAGUGGCCAAGCAGAGACUUCCAACAAACAAAUCAAGAAUAUUCUUCAGAAGACAGUAAAUGAAAUGGGAACGGCGUGGAAAGACAAGUUACCUGAUGCACUCUGGGCAUACCGGACAGCAUACAAGACCCCAAUUGGAAUGUCUCCAUACCAAUUGGUGUACGGGAAGACUUGCCAUCUACCUGUUGAACUAGAGUUCAAAGCACACUGGGCCAUAAAGAGAUGGAAUAUGGACCUAGAUGUUGCUGGAGAUUAUAGAAGAAUGCAACUAUCAGAAUUGGAAGAAUGGUGAGAGAAGGCAUAUCACAACUCAAAGAUCUACAAAGAAAGAGUAAAAAGGUGGCAUGACAAGAGAAUCAAAAAGAAGGAGUUCACACCCGGAGAUAAGGUAUUACUUUUUAAUUCCAGGGUGAAGCUUUUCGGGCAUGGAAAACUCCGGAGCAAAUGGGAAGGACCAUUCAAGGUAAUUAAUUCAUCAUCCCAUAGAGCUAUCACACUUCAAAAUGACGAAGGUACGUUAUUCAAGGUAAAUGGUCAACGUCUUAAAUUAUUUUUAGAGCCCAAUGAGGAAUUUGAAGAAAUAGACGUAUUCCACUUUUACCUUCCCAUGGAGAAUUAGAGCCCGACCUUUUUAGUCUGAUGUUUUUGGGUCAUAUAUAUAUUUUUCUAAAUAAUUUCGUAUCUAGAAACGUGCUCGAGAAAGUGGGCCCACAGAGGGGCCAGAGAGAGGGCGGGCGCCCAGCUCAGGUGGGCGGGCGCCCAGCUCCUGUUCCCCCUCGGUCCCGAUUUUCUCUGUUAUGGAAAAUGCACUUAUGGUAAUUCGAAUAAUCCCUCGGAUGGAAAGUUUCCCACGCAAGUCGACGGGAGCAACCUGAACAACCCAUAGAGGCACCCUUUUGACCCCUAUAUAAACAGACCCUGACCUCAGUUUUCAAACACCAAGCCACCAAUCCUUCUCUCCUUCAAUUAGAGCUUGAUUAGCUCUCCUUAAAUUAGAGCUUGAUUAGUUCCUUGCUGCUCCAAUGGCCGAGAAGUACCACGAUGAUUGGGAAGUCGUCCCCUUCAACCUCAACAUGGAGCUUGUGGAAGACCCCGAUGCCCGUGCUCUCGUCCCGGCCAACACAGAGCGACAGCUAGAAGCUAUGCCAUUACGCCAACGCAGCUCCGCCCAAUCUUACAAUGCUCAACCAGUUCUCACCGCACCGCCACAACCCCUACUCCUCAAAGGAUCAUCAUCCAAGAUAAAGACCACUAUCAAGGUGCCAACCGGCACAAGGAUCCUUGCACCUAGACCCAAUGAGAGGGUCGUUGGAGUCAAGACCAACCGGAGCGGUGAGAUCAGCAGUAUUCGCUACACUACGGAGGAGGAAAGGCCUUUGAAGGGAUUAGACCAGCCAAAGUCCGUUUCAUCCCUCCAAAGGCAGCCCCGAAGCACUCUCUCAAUGCUUUUGAGACACCUCCCAAGCGUCGCAAGACUAUAAUGGAUAUUGAUGAGGAAGUUCGCAGGCUAGAUAGAGUUAUCAUAGAUCUCCAGUCCUCGAUCAACUCCCUCACUAGCCAGCUCUCUAACCACAACACUAUUAUACUAGGCCUUAGGCAGGAUCUUGCCAGUGCCAACAAGAAGAUCAAGGAAUUAGAGCGCCGCUAAGUUAUCUAGAUUAGACCUUGAGGCAAUGCAUUUUAGUUAUCUAUCUUUAAAUUCGGUUUAGGUUUGCAAUUAUCAUCAGUUUGCUAUUAUCAUCAGUUUGUUAUCAGUUUGCUACUAGUCUUUUGUAAUAAAUGCCUCAAGAUUAAUAAAGAGUAUUACUAUUAUUAUUAUUAUGUCUUGUGUGUCUCUACUUUAUUUUUGUGCAAGAAAGCAAAAAAACAAGUAUGGGGGAGAUCCCUCGACAUGCCAACCACACUCCUACUACACCACUCCACGAUUCAGGUACACACUCUGCACACUUUACACAUACAUAUAUUUUGGAUUAUGCAGAUUAUUGUUUCCGACAUGAUAAAAUAAAAAGAUUAAAAUAUUUCUAAUCAUGAUUAAUCUCAAUAUGUGAUAUUUCCUGAAAACUUACAAUUAUUGAAAAUCAUUUUAAAACCCUGUGUCACUUAAGUCAAUAUGGAAUAUGUGAUGGUAGAGUAUGAGUUUCUUAUUCUUGAUAUCAUUGUUGCUUGGAGAAUUUAUUUCAAAAUAUUCAAAAUUAUAGCUACCAUCCUCAGUGUUUUAUGGCUGAUAAGACUGAAAAUAUUAAUUAUAAUUAUAAAAGCUAUCUACUCUGUAUUGAGUUUGUUCAAAAUGAGUUAGACCCUUGUUGAGAGAUUUAUCAUGCUCCUAAGAUCAAGACAGUAUUUCAGAAAGAUUCACUCUUCCGAAGUAUUAUUGCAUUAGAGGCAUGGGCUAUGCAUAAAUAGAAAUAUUUCGAGGAAAUAAAAAGGAGCAAGUGCUCGACAACAUCGCAGAAAAAAAUGGACAAGUGUCCGGCAGUAGAAUUAGGGGUACCUCGGUAUCCACUUAAAAAAAAUAUACCCCAUGGUCCCUCUAAUAAGCAAUAUGCCAGCAAGAGUUGACAAAGAUUUUAAUUUCCAAAGUUUUUGAUCUAAGAGUAUGACAUUCCCCUCCUCGGAUCCCGUUUUGAUCAGGCAAUAAAUGCAAAGUAAGUAUGCUUGAGAAUUUUUGCAAAAAUAAAACAGCCUCAGUGAGAUAUAUACAAAAGAUAAUGAGUGAUCUGAGAGAACCUAUGAGGAUAAAAAGGUAUGCUAACUUUCUUUCAAAAAUAUACAAAAACUCCAAGUGACAGGAUUGAGAAGAAAGGAUCUCUACUCUUAACCAUAAACUUCCCUGACUAUGGUACAUAGUGGAAUUUUUAACACCCUGCAAUUAUAUAAAGAAUGUUUUAAAUGUUUUACCCCAGAUAUUGUUCUUAACCAUCCUUUUCUCGAGGACGAGUAAAAGCCUAAGUAUGUGGGUAUUUGUUGACGGUUCUUAAGUAUCAAUUUUAAUUAUCAAAUAAACAAGAGAAAGGACCAAUAUGCAACUAACACCUAGAAUUAGGGUUUGAUCUGACAGAAUUCCACGAGUUUUGUUGUUUAUCUAUUUCUGCAGGGGGUUAUCAGGAAAUAAGGAAGAAAGGCCCACAUGUCGGGAUUACAUAGAGAUAUCAACACAUCGCACGAUUUUCCACCAUCUAGAAGACUCCAGAAGCCACGGGAAGAAGACUGAGGCUGAAAGGGGCUAGGCCCAGGGCGCCCGCCCUGGUGACCUGGGCGCCCGCCCCAUGCUGGAUUGCUUUCAGGACUCUCUUCGCUCGGGAUAUUCCACCGACCUAUUGGAUCAAGAAAAACAUAGUACCACCUCGCCUAUCGACCCAAAAACGCAUAGAAGGGGAGGACUAUAUAAGGAGACCCCCUGGCCCCUGGAGAAGACAUGAAGAAAUUAUCAUAGAGAUUGAGGGGUGCCCUCGAAGGAAAACCUCUUCUCUAAUUAAUAUUUCUUUUUAGGCUUAGCAAUCAAUGUAAGGUAGAAAUAGAUCUUCUAGUUUCUACUAGAUUGAGAGAGAUAGAGUGGAGGUGUUGAUUGGAGGAAGCCCGGCCUGUCGGUGUCUACUCCAAGCUUGUACCUUGCGGGAUCAAGUUCUCCUAACCCGAAGCUUGCUCCUAGGAUUCUUCAGUAAUUCGACUUCUAAAUUCUAGUAAGUUCUUGUUUUAUUGUUCUUAUGGUUUAUGAGUUUACUUUAAUCUCUUCGCGUAGAGUUUAGAGUAAUCAUUGCUGGCGUAAACGUGGUGUUUAGGCUGGGGUACUCAUAGAUAUUCCCUGACUAGCUGGACCGUGGUAGUAGUGAGGAACGUGACAAUUCCGAGCUACCUUUGUAGAUCACAUCUCGUUAGCAGGAAGGAUAGGGUUUAUUGGUGCGGGUUGAACAUCCUUUGUGGUGUCUAGAUUCCGUUAGCCUCCCCAUUAGAACAGUAGAUCAUCCUUACCAAGGUUAGAAGGAGACUACGGUUGCAGUCUUCUCUAUUUAUCACUCACAUCGAAAGACAUUCUUUGUGCCUAAAGGUUAGUAGUAAUAGACCGGUUAGUCAGAUGCACUCUUUCUCCUAGUGGUAAAAAAAUAAAUACGAUACUCUGGAUAAUUUCCCGGGUGAAGUGCUCACCGAUAUCCGUGCGCUUGCGGAUCAAUUCCUUAUUGCGUUCCCAAAUAUCAACAGUUCUCACCUAACCCGGCAGUCACGGGAAGCGUGAUAGGGAGCAAGCACCCAUCCAAUCGCCCUUUUUGCAGCCUUGUCCACCAGAUGAACCAGAGUAGGUCAGGGCGCAGUGAGACGGUCGGAACGUCUUGUCACGACCCCCCUCGAGACGCCCAAAGUCAGCGCUCCUAUCAGCAAGGCUUUGCGUGGCGUUGGACCCUCGAGUGAACACUUUCCUUCCCAAAGAAGAGUCAGGCGGUGAAAGACAACACCUCAACAACUCUGACGCGACAGCAGCCACGACGUACAGGUGUGCCCACGGUUAAGCCGAUCCAGGACGGCGCGCAGGAGCCGAAUUCAGAGGCACGCGUAAUCAUCAUCCAAGUACUGAGUAACAAGACGGCUUGAGGCCACGCCAGUACGGAAGCCUCGAGUAGGUCAGCGCACCACGCAUCUAUCGACCCCUACUCUAUCACCUACGCCAUGUAACCUAGGUCACCCCUUGGAACUAUAAAAGGGUAGGCACAGGAAAGGAUAGGGGACACAAGACAUACCUAGAAGAACAACCACACUUCAUCUCCCACCAUCCACACAAUACCGACUUGUAUUCACCCCUGUACAAGCACUUAGGUGCAAGAUAAUAGAAACAUCUCCUCCCCACCCGACGUAGGGCCUUCUCUUGCCCGAACCAGGAUAAACCUUUGUGCCUUUCUUGCAUCACCAUCUGGGAAAGGGAACACGCACACAAGUUUCACUCGUUGGAGUGACCCCCCGUGGGGAAAACACCGAUAGAUAUAAAUAUUAAAACUGUGGGCAAUUGCUUUGUUCAAGUCAUUGUUUAUUUCUUGUGGUUUUGGUUGAGAGAAUUAUCAUGCUCCAAAGAUCAAGAUCGUUUUGUUUUAAAAAUAUAAAAGAUUCACUCUUCCGAAGUAUUAUUGCAUUAGAGGCAUGAGACUAUGCAAAAAUUUGAUUAAAAAAAAGAGUGAGACGAGAGGUAAAAAUGGACAAGUGUCCAAAGUAGAAUUAGGGGUACAAAGAUACCCACCUGAGUGGAAAAAAUGGACACAUGUCUGAUAGUAGAAUUAGGGGUACUUGGUGCCCACUUGAAAAAAAGAAAAAAAAGAGAGAGAGACUGAAAAAAAAGAGAGAAAAAAAAAUGAUAGCCCAUGGUCCCUCUAAUAAGCAAUGUGCUAGUAAGAGAUGACAAACUUUUCAAAAAGGUCAAAGGUAUUGAUGUAGGAGUAUGACAUUCCUCUCCCUUGCUCCGAGCAUUGACAUAGCAAAAUGCAAAGUAAGUAUGCUAAAACUUUUAAAGCUCUACUUAUAUAUCUUUCGAGAAGAAGGCAAAUGCCUCAGUUUUAUUUUGGAAACUUACAAAAAACUCCAGAACAAAGGUAAGACAGAAGAACUUGAGACAUAGUGCUUGACUUGAUCGUUCUGUUUUUCAAUCACUUAAGAGCUUAGUGAUAACUUAAUAACCCUGUAGUAAGAGGCAUAAAAGUAACCCCAGUUUUUUUCUGAUUUUAGCUUUGCUCAGGGACGAGCAAAGGUUAUGCUUGGGGGAGCUUGUUGACGGUCCUUAAUGCUCACAUUUAACCGUCAACUAAUCAUGGAAAAGGACUUAUAUACAACUGUUGGGUAUUUUAAACGCAAAGAGAAAAAUCCGCAAGCGCACGGAUACCGAUGUAGCCUUCACCCGGGAGUAUUCCAGAGUAUCGAUUUUCCACAGAGAACGUGAGUGUACUAAUUAAGAUCCAAGAUCGCCCAAGGAUAACUAUAUAAUUAUUUUUGGUGGGAAGAGAGGAAGUUUCCUGAGAGUUCUCUAGUUGAUCUAAGAAUCAAGAAUUACUUCAAGAUUAUUUAUAUCGGGACAUCAGAGCACUAACCACAGAAAGAGAUGAGAAGGGGGCUAGGAAGGUCUGACUACGGUCCUACAAACACCGAUCCGAACGUGGUGGAAUACGUCGACCGUUAGGGAUGUCACUACCCUAAGGCUACCACAACAAUCCGCAGGAUUGGGUGCAAUUCCAGGUAAUUGCAAGACUAAACACCACGUCUAAUCUAUUAAUUACUACUCUAAUGUUUCAAAGAUUAGAGCACUUGAUGCAAGCGGGAAUCCAAUAAAUAACUUGAAUGUAAAUAAAAGUAAUUAGAGAACUCAGGAGUUAUGAGUUGAAGAACCUAGAGAACGAUGAAGAACGAACCAGAUGUUGCAAAAGUACAAUGUUGAGGAAGAUCCGACAGAUCCGGCUCCUCCUCCGCUCUCCUCUUCUCUCUCCCUAUUUUCUAGAUUACAACUAGAACUAACUAGAACUAGAACUAGAGGAACUAGAACUAGAACUAAAUGAACUAGAACUAGAUCUAGAUGAACUAGAGGUAGAACUAGAAGAACUAGAGGGAUCCUCUCUACUUGGAUGAAUAAUUGAAACCCCUAGCUUUGAUUCUGUAGAAGAGGUAUGAUCUCCAGGGGCCAGGGGGUCUGGUUUUAUAGUCCCUUCAAGUGAAUCUGGGCCGUCGGAUCAAACCGACAUUGAUCGUGUGGUUCUCCUUGAUCCUUUAGGUCGGUGGAGCAUAAUCCGCGAAACGUGUCCUGAUUGGGCACUGUAGCUGGGCGGGCGCCCUGCCUCCGAGCCCGAUUUCCUUCCCGUUCGUUCCCGUGGCUUCUGGAGUCUUCUAGAUGAUAGAAAAUUGCGCGACACGUUAAUAUCUCUAUGUAAACCUGACGUGUGGGCCUUUCUUCCAUAUUUCCUGAUAACCCCCUGCAGAAAUACACAAACACCAAAACUCGUGGAAUUCUGUCAGAUAAAACCCUAAGUCUAGGUGUUGGUUGCAUUUGGAUCCUUUUCCAUGAUUAAUUGAUGGUUAAUUGUGAGCAUUAAGGACCGUCAACAAGCUCCCCCAAGCUUAACCUUUGCUCGUCCCUGAGCAAAGAUGAACUCAAGAGUUUCUGAAGUGGUUUCAUAACUUAAAGAUACACAUGCGUUUAAACAAGAUCUCAUAUCUGGUUAGAGUAAACUGUUAAGACUUAAAACUUACUCAUUUACCUUUCACCAUGGGACUUGUAACCGUCACUUCUGUCUUGAGUAGUUAAAAGAUAGAACGGUCUAGUCAAGCACCAUGUCUCUUAUUCUUGAUCAGCUAUAGCUCUAGAGUUUUUGCAGAUUUUCAAAUAAAACACAGAGAUUCCUUGUAUGACUCUCUCUAGUCUCUCUUUUGUGGUAUUUCUAGAUCCUUACCAAGGCAUUAAUGGUGUAUGCCUUCUCUCAAAGUAUGUGGUAUUUGUGGUAUAAGGCAUAGUGGCAUUGCCUUCUCUCUCACCCUACUCUUAUAAGGUUUUGAUAUCUGGAGCUCAUAGGUGGGAGACAGCUAAUACAUACUUACAAGACAUUUAUUGCAUAGUCAAACCAUGGAUCCAGAAGAACAAGUCAAUAAGUCAAAUCAAGAUGUGCAUGUGUGGUGAAUGAAUGGUGUAUGGUGAUGAUGGUUAUAACAAUGGUGAAAGUCUAAUUCUACUUAUGCUCUUUUGAGGGGAUACAUACCUUUCUUGCUCUUUUGAAACUUUUUGAGGAGAAUGAGAUGCUCUAUAUAUUUUUUUCUUUUCUCUCAGGUGGGUAUCUUGUGCCCCUAAUUCUACUGUCGGACACUUGUCCAUUUUUACCUCUCGUCUCACUUUUUUUUUAGGUUCCGGGCACUUGCCCCUUUUUAUUUCCUCGUAUUUAUUUUUUUUCUCUCUCUUUUUUUUCUUUUUUUUAGAGCACUCAUCUCCUGAAAUAAUAUAGCAAGUGGUAGUAACCAAGAUAACUUGUGCAUUUAUUUCACAGGGGAAAAACAGAAAUAUUUUUGGCUAUUCUCUCUCGGAUUAGGAGUAGAAUAUUUUUGGGUGGUUCUGGAGAUGGAAAUGGAUGGAUAUAUGUGGAUGCGUUCUUCCGAAGUAGAAGUAGCAUGUAUGAGUGAACGUGCAAGUGAAUCUUGAUUUAACCACAUGACAAGCUCCUAAGGGUCUACACAGCUUGACCACACUCAAUGCUCAUAAGUAGUAAAAAGUAAAUGUGUGGCUCAUAGUCUAACAAGCAUGUAUAUAUGGCUGUGGUAGGAAUUUAAACUCUCAUCAUACGGGAACUCAUCAUGCAACAUUUUAAAGAUUUUCAAAGAUAAAAUUCUCCAGAAUUCUAGCAUCCCUAGGAACACAUAAACAACAGCUUAACCUUCCCAUAUCAUAUCCGUUAACAACUUAGACUUUAGAUCAAGUACUCUCCCCACAAGUUCAGGUUUAGAGCAAAUCUUAAUUAAUAACAGUCAUGCCUAAACUUGAGAGAGAUUUCAAUUUUGAUAACUAGUCAUGGUAGAGCAACUAUUCAUCAUUUCCAUGUGAGAGCUUAUUAUGAGGGUUCAUAGCAAACUUUAUUUAUUUAUUUAUUUAGCAAGCUAAGCAAAGAUAUAUAUAAGCACAAAAUCUUUAUUUGGGUUUUUAUGAUCAUGCAUCUUUUUAUUAUUUGAGUAAAAUAUAAACGUGAGUAGAACACUUAGCUGGAUAAAUGGGGGUGCUCUCCCCCAAGCUGGAUUUUGACGUAAUUUCUUCUGAUGUAGCUAGCAGGUGGCGGAGGUGUAUUUGAAUGUCGGCAGCACUCUGAUAGCGAUUAGGAUGUCCUCCGUCUGCUAGUCUUCUUUGAUCCUUG